UUUUUUUUUCGUUUUUUUCUUAAUCUCGGGUCACUAUGGCUUAAUCUCGGGUCAAUAUGCUUAAUCUCAAGUCAAAUUUCACUAAGUGGUCAAACUACCCAGAAAGUCACCCAUCCUCACACUACUCCAGCCCGAGCACACUUAACUUCGCAGUUCUAUCCAACCCCAGCACCACCUCACUUAACAAGCACAUGUUGAUAUAUCUAUCAUAUCAAUCCUAUUAAACCUUGUUGAUGUCUAGGACUUUGUUCAUGUUCAUGAGUAUGAUGAAAUUUUGAAAAAUAUUUCAAACUUCCCGGUCAUAUUAUGUAUCAUUUUUUGAAAAAAAUCCAAAAAAAUAAUUCAAAACUAUUUUUUUUCUGUUACUAGUGGCGCACCUAGCAAACGGUGCGCCACUAGUAAGUUUGAAAUUUUUUGAAUUUUUUGCCUCUAGAUCUUGAAAGCCCUGUAACUUUUUUCUGUUAGGUUUUUGAGGAUUUUGAAAAUGUUUAACAGGGUUCCCCUAUUUAAAUUUGUAUGUAACUUUUCGCGUAGAUGAUUUUUCAUAUAAAAAACUUUUUAACCCGAGUUCGUAUGCAAAAGUUAUGCCCAUUUUACAAAUUCCAGAGAGAUUUUGCAAAUAAAGUUGAAAUUCAUAUUUGGAAAUUUUCCCGACAACUAGACCACAUAUCACAUGGGAAACUUAUUUUGUUUUAUUUUUUUGACAUUCAUUUUAUUUUAUUUUUUAAAAACUGAAAAGGCGGUCCACAGGGGCUGCAUUCGGUGGAAUUUUUGGGCCAAGUUAGUAAUGGCGCACCAUGGAUGUUUUGAAUUUUUUUUUGAAAAACCCAUUACUAGUUUUGAAAAAAAAUUGAAAAAAAUUUACUAGUGGCGCACCGUGGAUGUGGUGCGCCAUUACUAGUUUAACUAGUAAUGGCGCACUAUACUAGUUUAACUAGUAAUGGCGCACUAUCCCCUGGUGCGCCAUUACUAGUUUUGAAAAAAAAUCUAAAACAAAAAUUGAAAAAAAAUUACUAGUGGCGCACCGUGGAUGUGGUGCGCCAUUACUAGUUAAACUAGUAAUGGCGCACUAUCCCCUGGUGCGCCAUUACUAGUUUUGAAAAAAAAUGUUACUAGUGGCGCACCGUGGAUGUGGUGCGUCAUUAGUAUUUGGACACUAAUGGCGCACCAACACAUGGUGCACCAUUAGUAUAUAGUAGUGGCGCACCACAUGUCUGGUGCGCCAUUAGUGUUCAUAUCAUCUAUAGCCCUUUUCCUAGUAGUGGGUGCGCAAUGAAGACACAACCAUGCUUCAUGAACAGCGGACCUUCCGUGUCGUGCACGGAAGGUGGCAUCCGCUUCACAAUGGGGUAGCUGUCCCCGAUAAAAAGCGAGUUCUCUCCAAGAGUGUUCCUCGGCACCCACAUAGCAUCAUAGGGGUCGAACUCGGCGCCGUUCAUCUGGUACACGCGGCAUCCCAGAUCUGGACACAUGGUGACGUACAUAGUCAAGGUCCAUGCAUAAUAAUGUUGUGCUCAAAUAUGGCGGUCAGUAAUACUGUGCAGCAAAUAGUACUACUUCGGUAUAGAGGAAGUAAAAUAACCAGCUUAUUAUAUAUAGCCACUCUUGGCUACAUGGAUGAGAUAGUAAGACAUGGAAAAACAAAAAUGGUGGCAGCUAGUGGGUUCAAGUCUUCAAGGGCCUAGCUAGCUAUACGCGUCCUCCAAGGUAAAAAGUACUCCUACUAGUACUACUAGUACAACAAUGAAAGAGAAGGCGAGAGGGUUAAAAAAUGGAAUACCUGGGUAGAUGGUGACGGUCCGAUCGUGGUAGAUUGUGUGACCAUGUUGCACAUCAGUGGUACCAUGGGUAACGACUGCUAAGAUAGUUGAUUCCAAUAUGCCAAAGUCAGCUACAAGGUCCCAGGUUAGACCAAAUCGUGGAUACAAAUGCACAUCCAGGAUCGGCGAUCUUAUUUUGAUCGGGGGAUGACUGGUCCCUGCAAAAUAAUGGAGUACCAUUAGGGAUGCAAAUGAUGGUUUGUGCAUUCCGUUUGUAAUCUCCCGUACCGUAGGAUGGCAACCAGAUGAAACAAGUCCCCUGGCUUGUCACCGCGAAGAUGCGGCCUAGAUGGCGCACGAUGUCUUCGAACGUGUAGGGGUACAAAUCUGUCGCCGCCAACAUGCGCCAGCCUCUGCCGUUACUGCCUCUUGCAUUGAUGGCAAUCCUUAUGUCGAACACCGUGAUGAGAUAGUAAUCAUCGUAGCCGCGUCGCUUUGUCAGCGGGUCCGCAAUUGCUAUCUUCUUCAAUCUCAUGUGGGAAUCAUCAUACGUAUUCAAGCCCAGCCAGUCCGGAAGGCCGAUCCCAAUGGUGGAGAAGGGGUCUACCAGAACGGCCGCACUGCUAUGGAUGUUGUGCAAAAUGAUGGUGGUAUCCGGCCGGAGGUAUGCAAGCCAAUCUUUGUUGGCACCGACCCAGACCUAUAUAUAAGACGGUGGGCAGUGGAGAAAUUACGGGAUGGAAAUGGAAUAACUAAGUACUACAUGAUCAAACUCCAUUACUGACCUGCUCAUCGGACAAAAUCCGACUACCUCUCAACAUCGGCAACUCUAGCGGAGUCAAUGUGCAACCAUGGCCAGGGAGCGGUGGACUGUUCGAAGGAUUGUCUCAUAGAAGAAUCUUCUCCUCGAGGACGCAUGGAAGACCAACAAGCAUGGCCUUUUCCCAAGCAUGUUUAAGCGACGUCUUGAAAAAGUUGGUGCAAGAAGCACCGAGUCUUGCGGCGGUGAGGACGUCAGAGCGGCGUGCGAUUUCUCCCAGAGGAUCAUCGUGCAAGGUCUCCCAGCCCCGACGAGGAGGAGAACCGCCUGGCGAGUCCAUGGGAGCAUCAACAAACUGCCUUCUCUUCGGGGGGAGGGGAACUGGCAAGGAGGAGAUAAGAGCGUAGUAACCGCAGGGCCUCGUCCCUUCCAAAUGUAGAUCGUUCCUCAGCGAAGGGGUGAGGCUAUUAUUUACUACUACUAGUACUAGCAUUAUGGAACGUUAUGGGAUUGCAUUAUACUGUAAAUAAUAGCACUAGUAAGAAAUUUUUGGCACUAGGUAUUAGUUUUUGGCGUGGAUUAAGAAAUUUUGGGUAUGUUUUUGCCAUUUUUUGUACACGCCAACUAGUGUCAAAAAAUGUCUUACAUUAUGUGACGGAGGAGUACGUACUCGUAUUGUUGCAGUACUAGUACUACUUUUCUCAACUAGUACUGCGAUGUACUGUACUUCUUGUCUAGUUCUAGUAUAGUGCACCAGUUUUGAACUCUUGAAUCUCAGGGCCAAGGAGCUACAGUUGGAAGUGGAGGGUACUACUAUUCUCUAGAACCAUCGUUGUACUAUCAAUGCAGGGAAAGUACACCUGCGUAGUGGCCUAGUGGGUACUCUCGGUGCUCUAUUGAGCCGCUCCUCUGACGUAGCUGGCCUACUCAGCCGCUCCUCUCAUGCACACACUAGCAGCCUAUUUAUCAACGACAGUUACUGCGGGGGCAGAACAUUUGAGUUAUUUGAUACAGCGAGACUAGGAUUUUCGCUUCUAUUUGUGGAGGUGUAAUGGAUCUCGUCGAACUUUGUUAGUAGUUCCUUCUUUAUGAAUGAGAUGAAGCAAAGCUUUUGCCUCCAUUUCAAAAAAAACACGUCAAUAGGAAUUUCUUUUAUAGUAGAGCCGAUAAUGGAGUGAAGUCCAUGCGUGCAAUGCCACAAGCUACAGAGUAGUAGUAGAGCACUUUACGUACAGAGUCAUAUUGCACAGUUCCCAAUGCCUCACCAGGCUUUUCCGGCUCCUCGGGCUUAAUUGGGAGGCGCUAGUUUAAAUAUGCUGCUAGCUGAUGAGGAAGCUGCAAGCGAGGUGCGGCUAGGGCGAGCACGCGAGCCAUGGGAUGCUAGGAAGGAAAACCCGUUCACGUGGCUAGGCUAUCCAGUGCACCCAGAUUGUGGGGCCGCAUGUCCUUUGACUUCAAAACUCAAACUACCCCUGUAAAAUAUUGGCUCGCAGCGAAGUGUAGUAGUACUAUUUUAAAAAAAAGGCCGUCGUGCAUUCGGCCGGGAUCGAACCCACAAAACGAGGUAUACACUCCCGCGACCACUAGUAGUACUCGUUGGAGUACGACGCAACCUAGAAUCGCCUUUUAUCGCUAGUAGUACGUACAUUGUUCCUUACAAGAAACCCCUAAUAAUGCAAGAAACCACUAAAAUGCCAAGAAACUACUACCACUUGCAUACGUGGCAGACUUAAGAUAAGACUACCUUAUCAACCAUUGUACAUCCUCUUACCAACAAAAAUCCUCGAGUGACCUCCUACCUCCGGCCCGUCCACCUAGUCAUCCUCGGCCAUGGGACGCAGCUACCGCCGCCGGCAGAAGGCGAGGUCAAAACCGCCUGCGGUGCGGAGCCCAUGUUGCAGCAGCCCGGAUGCCAGCUCCGUCCGACGCUCGCAGCCACUAGCUAGCCAAGAUAGCUCCGUCCAGCUGCUUGUCUACAAGGUUUGCUAGCUAGAUUGGCACGGCAGCGCGGCGGCUUGCUCGUGCGCACCGCGCUAAGGCCAGCCAUCUGGCUCGAGCGAAGGCCAGCGCGGCGGCUUGCUCACUCGUGAGUCACGCUCGGGCCAGCCUACCAACCUGUCCGGAGGCCAGCGCGGUGUCCGGCCCGUCCGGCAGAGCGACGGCCAACUCGCUCAUCACCAGCGCCACCGACGAACACGCAUCAGUACUGUUUGAAGUAAUGUUCAGAAAAAAUAAUGAUUUGAGGGGGAAUAACAGGAUAGAAGGUCAGAUGUGGGUCCCUCGUGUCAACGGUCAAGCAAAAUGUGUUGGUUUAAGCUGCCUCGUCAACACGGACGUGUGGGCCAACCCUGUCAUAAAUGGGUUUAAACGAACCUAAUUGGUAGGAGUACUAGGUAGUAGUUUUUGGCAUGGAUUAAGAAAUUUUGGGUAUGUUUUUUCUAUUUUUUAUACAAUAGAUUCUUCCUAGGGCUGGUUGAAAGUGGUAGUUUUUUGUUAAAUACUCUACAUAUUGUAAGUAGGAAUGAAAGUUAAGCUUUGGAAGCCAAUAAGCAAAGCUAGUUACAUAGCGCAUAUGUGUACAUGAUUGAAAGUAAAUAUCAACCAUGAGUGACUAAUAUCUUGAUGGAAAACUCGAAACUAUUGAAUACUAGGAAAAAAUGCAUGGUUGGAAAUACUAGCAAUGUUCAUGUCCGUUGCAACAAAUCAUAAUUAGAAUAAUACUUAUUCACAAACUUGGUACAAAACACUCUAAUUUUGAUAUACAUAUGUCACUAGAGAUAUAUUAUGUUUCAAUUAGAAUAUAUUCCUUGGGUUGUUUUGGUGAGGUCAGGGAGGGAUGUGGUUGGUUUUAAGAUACUAAUUAUGGGUUUUUCUGCAAAUUGGUAGGCAAGUGGGAUGUUGGUGAGAAAAGGCAACAACUUACCUCACAAUCAUUAUAUGUAGAUCUAAUGGUCAGAAACAACGGAUGGUAGACACACCAGCAUCACCAACUUAGUCUUGUUUAGGAGUACUAGCAAGAUCCGUGCAUUGCACGGAACAUCAAGAUGCAUUUUUUUAUAAAACACUUGUUUUGAUUAACCCUUGCAAGAGUAAUCCCAUGUGUAAAAACUAAUGAUAUCUCGAGAAAUAUGAGAUAAGGUGAAGAGGAGUGGGGUGUGGUGGUGCUUGGUGGUCGGACUGAGCGGAGGCAUGGGGAUUGACGACGCCGGCAGUGGCCACCAGGCCAGUUUGUUCCAGAGGCUUCCUUUCUUAAUUGCUCAACAAUGAGGUUUGUUGGAGAUAAGGAUGAACGAGGGAAGGCCUUGUCUGCAAAUGUGGUGAGGGGUGCGGGUAUCUUUUAGUUUAAUUUACAUCCGUCAGAUAUAGAUCGGACGGUCUAUAUUGCGAGAUGGCACACGUACCAUCAUCACCAACUCGGUUUUUUAUAAGAGAAGAAAUAUAAGUAUGGAGAUACAAACGUAUUAUCGAUACUUGCUUCGGUUAACUAGCAUCUACAUUCUAUUCAACGCCUCGGCAUGUGGGGCCUUAGCACAAUGACUUCUCGACUGUGUAAAACAAAGAUUUUCCUGUCGCCGACAAGGAGGGGGUGACGGCGGCGCGCUUUUUGGCUUGCUCUAGUCCUAGUAGUCAUACUAGGUGGUCUAAGCACGUGUAGAUUUAUUCUUUUUCAUGUCUCGUGUUCGCCGUACUGCCACGUCUGUUGAUGAAUAGACGAUAAGUUAUUCACGGGGAAACCCUUGUUGAGCGUGUUUGCGAGAGAGAGAGAGAGAGAGAGAGAGAGAGAGAGCGUGUGUGAUAUGUUAGAGACUGAGGCAAUGAUAACAGAUUCUUUGUGUCUAUGUGUGUGGAGGAUAGAGAGAGACAUGUACAUGGGGCUUUGUGUUGUGUAACGUGGCGACACAUAUACAUAAUUAGAGAGUGAGUGUGUGAGAUACACAUGCGGACAUGGGGAGAGAUGAGGAUCCAGAUAAAUGGGUGUUUGUAUGUGUCUGUGUGUGUUUGUGCACGCAUUUGUGUGUGAGAGGGAGAGAGUGUAUGUGGAGUAGAGAGACCACUGAUGAUGUAAACCUAGUAUAAGGGAAGGGGGAAUGGUGUGACAUGUGUAGUAGCGGGAUAGCACGGGUGCGGGCGGGGGGAGUAGACUAUUUGGAAGAGACAUCGAGUGUGUGUGUGCGAGAGGGGUGUGAGAGUGAGAGAAAGAGAGAGCUAGCGAUGGAGAGAGAUAGAGAGGAAGAGAGGGGGCGAGAGGGUUCGUUUGUGUCCAUAAAUGGCGUAUAGAUAGGGAGACAAUGUUGAUGUUGUCCGAAAUUGGCCUAUGAACGGAGACACAAGGGAAGCGAGUCAUCGUGUGUGUGAUAGGGACUUCAUGAGAGAUCUAGAAUAGAUCGUGUAGAGAACAAUGUGCGAAAUCGAGAACGAUUAUACAUUAGGGAGCUAUGCAAAGAGUCACGACAUAUAUGUAUACAGGGAAGGAGCUGGGGCGGGUCCGCAUGUGGGAGAGAUAGAAAGAGGAGAGUGGUGCACAAGGAGACAAAGUGUGCUUGUUUGCAGUGGGGGUGGUGUGUGAGGUGAGUGCGCGAGAACCACAUAACUAGGGAGAUAGACGUUUGGGGGUGACGUUUUGUGUGUAUGGAAAAUAUACACUCUACAUAGUGCGUGUGCUUGGGUAAGAGAGAUAGCGGGAGACCUAGAGAGUGAGGGAAGAGAUGUGUGCAUGCCCGAGAGACAAAGUGAUAGAGACCUAUGUUGGGGUCCGGACAUUACAGAGGGGUGUUAAUGUGCUCGUGUGUUGGUGUUUGGGGGAGAGAACGACUUCUCUAUGUGUGUGUGUGUGUGGUGGGGGAGGGGGUUGACUUCAGAUAAAGAGUGAGGUGUCUAUAUUUGAGGGACUUUAGCAUAAUUGAGAUAUUGUGCACUCAUGGUUGAUCAAUUUGUUUCACAGUUUGUACUAUGAGAUAACGAUACUUUUGAACAUGCGUGAUAUACCUUGAUGUACCAGAAUUACAAACCUAAGAUUGGAAUUUUGGAAUUCGACUCCAUCAUUAGCUUUUGUAAUUCAUUUAAACAGAGGUACAUUUUUUAAGCCGGGAUUUCGUGAUUUCAAAUUCAUAUAUCAAACCUAGAGAUAUACGCAUAUGGGCACGUUCAAACUUUAUAAUCAUCCACUUUAUUCAUACACAUACACAUUUUUGCUUUUGUCAUCAUAUUUAGGAUAAACACAUUUGGAAUUUCAUUUGAAUUGGACCGUAUGAUGGUAUUUGCUUGUAGUAGCUCAAUGAUCCAUAUUUGAAUUGAAUGGACAAUCUAAGUUUCGAGUUGGAGAUAUUGAUUUUCAAAACUUGCACCUUUUUUUGCAUGCAAAACAAACAAAUUGUCGGCCAUGAUAUCAUAGUCGGCCGUACGAGAGCAGAAUACCUAUAAUUUUAGGCGCCAAAAGCUUUCAAACUUCCCGCUCACAUCGAAAUAUCACGCGCCUGAAAGUUUAGCCCUGCAAUAUUCCUGUUUUACCCCUGCCACAUGAACGGAAAAGGGUUGCUUUGGUAACUCCAUUGUUUUCCCCUCUUUGCCCCCAACAUUCUUCCCCAGAGCCCCUCCCCUUCCCCUCCCCGACCCCCCCCCCAACCACGGCAAGCGGUGGACCUCACACCCCGCCGGAUCUACCUUCCGCACCUUGNNNNNNNNNNNNNNNNNNNNNNNNNNNNNNNNNNNNNNNNNNNNNNNNNNNNNNNNNNNNNNNNNNNNNNNNNNNNNNNNNNNNNNNNNNNNNNNNNNNNNNNNNNNNNNNNNNNNNNNNNNNNNNNNNNNNNNNNNNNNNNNNNNNNNNNNNNNNNNNNNNNNNNNNNNNNNNNNNNNNNNNNNNNNNNNNNNNNNNNNNNNNNNNNNNNNNNNNNNNNNNNNNNNNNNNNNNNNNNNNNNNNNNNNNNNNNNNNNNNNNNNUCACCACUUCACCGAAGCCGCUUCAGCGACUGGCUUGCCCACCACUCCAUAUCUCCUUGACCGCCAUCAUGGUCCACCGCACCGGAUCUUCUUAACCGACGCCCUCGUCCACCACAGCGUAGGCCCUUCACUGACUCCCUCGUCCGCCCCUUCGCUGGCCCUUCAUACAAGCCCUCGUCCGCCGCAAUAGAUCUGCCUCACCGAAAGCACUGUACAACGCGCCCGCCGAAGCCUUCGUCCACUGCACUGGACCCGCUCCACGGACGCCAUAUUCAACUCCACCGGCCCUGCUUUACCGACGCCGCAGCCUCAUCAGGUUAUUUCGAUUUGUAUUCCUUCGUUUUUUUCUCUUUAUCGUGCAACUGCUCACUUACCACAGAUGAGCUUUCUUGUAUGUCGACAGGCUCCGCAACCGUAGCACCGGAGCCGCUUCAGCGAUGGCGACAGCCGACCCAAACUCAACCGCAACACGAGCACCAUCAACGAUCCUUAGCUAUCAAAUAUGACAACGAUACCCAUACGCCACCGAGAAUCAGGUACUAAUAUCCAAUGGCCGGCGCCUACGUUCACUUUCCUAGCAUAAGCACCGCACCUUUGAAUUUCUUUAGGGCAUCAUUCAGUUUUUCAUGAGACGCGUUAUUCUGCUUGCACCUGUAGGGCCAUACUUCUGGCAGUGAACAUGUUACAUGUGCUAAAUUACAUACCAGUGCACAUAUAGUUAAUAUGCUUUAGUUUUGUUCUGAUGCCACCUAUUGGUUCCAUCAGACUGCUUAAUGUUCUCUAUGCUUAAUUACACAUCAGAAAACUAGCAUGUGGUUCCGCUGCUUUUUGUUUGUUUUACCCUACAUUUUCUGAUGCUAGCUAUUACAUCACUGCUCCGAGCCUCUGUUCAUUACUUGUUUGUGUGUUCUUGAUCUUCCCAAGUUGCAUGACUAAUUUGAUGCUUCUAUUAAUUAUGGAGCUGCCAACCCCAUCAAGCAAAAUAUUUGUUCUUUUGGGGCUAGCACCUCGAACAAGCAUAAAAAUAGAGGGAAGUAGAUAUAUUGUCGUGUAUGCACACACCCUUCUUUCAUUAGUUUAGAUGAACCAUUCAUGAUCAAUUCGGACUAGUGAAUGUGAUUAAAAUUAAUUUUACCUAAAUAGAGGGUGCAGAAUAAACUACAACAACUAGAUUUGCAACCACGGGAUGCUGACGAUAUCUUCAAAGAACAUUGCAACAGCAGCGAGGCUUCACGGCAACAUAUGGUAAGCCAGUGUGUUUUAGUACAUGUGAAAUGUAAUGCGAGUGGGCUGCUUUCUUGGCUUGUGCCCUCAACCUGUAAUCCUACCGAAUUACAAAUAGUUCAGUUGUCUGCUUUGCUGUAUUGCUUGACUCGAAUGCUUGUUUGUUGUUACGGUAUACCUGAGUUGGCCAAUAUGUCAGCAGUGCCUCCUGUACUAUCGUAAAGAAAUGCAUGCCUAUUUCAUUUGAGUCCUUAACUUUUCCUCUCAACUUCAUCACAAGACUGUCUUCGUAGUUUAUAUGAGGCCACACUGUUAAGUGCUUUCUCAGAUUAUUUCAACUACUUAGAUGCCUUGGCAACUUAAAUAUAGUGGUGGUACACUCCCUUCAACUAGGGAUGUCAACUGGGUCCCGUUUAAUCCUGAUUAAAGUCCACUAGUGGUAUGAUAGUUCAAAAGAGUUUUUUGUUUUUUGAGGAAAAUGAACUAGGGAGGUAGCAAAAACUAACUAGAUGGGACUAGCGGAUGUCAUUUAUUUGCCACUUACAUCCCUAGUUUCAUCUUACCAUUUAAUAUUUUUUUUCGGCUGAUGCUCCUUCGAACCAUUUAAAUAUAGUUUGCCAUGCUCGGCAAUAAUUCAUUUGUCAUUUACCAUGUAAGCUUACUGCCUGGAUCAUACGAUAACUAUCUCUUACUUAUGUCCAGCGGAAACCUUUCAGGAUGCCAUUCACACUAGGACACAAUGUACAACCCUAUAGUCUAUUUGUGGAAGCAGUGCGCCAUCCAUGUUACCAGAUGGUAGCAGUUCAGAGGCAACACCGCCGGAGAGAAGUCUGAGCACAGAUAUUAUAGUGCUUGAGGCUCUACUAGAGGCAGAAAGAGAUGGUGUGGCUGCCAUGAAUGAGGUAAUCUUUAUCUUGAGGCUGGAAAUUAUGGAAUUAGCGGCACACAUUAUGCAAGCAACCCAAGAAUUGGAGGAAGUAAGAAUGUUGCAUUUGAAGACGAAGGAGGUCCUGCUGUUUCUGCUAUCUGAAGCCCAAGGUAAUCUCGGUUCUUCUUUAGAUACCAGUUGAAAUUGUCAUUAGAUUAUUGUACUUGCAUGUUGUGUCAUGUCUCUGAAUGGAUUAUGUUGCAAGACCCCCUAUGUUGUCCAUGUGUUGUAAUGAUCCGAAUUUUUUAGGCGAGGUAAUCCUUGGUACUUGUAUGAUUGACAUAAGGUGAACUAUUUUUCGUGUGAGCAUAUUGUAUUGGAUGAAAUAACUGUUUGACUCAGAGCGUAUCCAACCUACUGAAUUUGAAGAUCACAGAAUUUCUAAAUCAUAAUCAUAUAUAAAGGUGGAAUAAAUCUCUGUUGUGGUUUUGAAGAAAUAAAUAACAAAAUGUAUAAUUAUCUAUGGAUAUUUGUAAUCGAAUACAAAUUGGAUUUGAAUUUAGUUUUGCCAGGGCCCAGGGCAAACGUGAAUGCUAAUUCUCCCAAGUUUUGAACGAAGCGGCUAAACACCCACUAUAAUUUGUGGGCUACCCGAAGCAAGUGUUUGCGAGAUGGAAAUUAAUGUCUACCCCUGACACUUGACAUCCGUAUCGACCGAAUUUACACUACAGUCGAUAGGGGUAGACUAGUAACUUCAAUCAGACGUGACACGACGGCCUCUGAGCCCAUUCAGACACGGUGGGCGCCAAACAUGGGCGGCAAAACACAUUUGAUUCAAGCUCGUUCGAAAGACAUGUGUAUCUUCCUCCAUUUCCCCAUUCAAACACGGUGGGCGGCAAAACAAACUCUCCUCGUCUGAAAUUGAUGUAGGCUAAUAUUUUAAAUAGGGGCAGAUGUGUAACUUCCAUCACACGUGACACAACCUCCCUACCUGCCAGCCCCGUUCAUACACCGUGGGCACCAACCAUGGGCGGAAAAACACCCUAUCCUCGCCCGAAAUAGUUACCGGCAAAUAUUUGGGAGAUGCGAGAUUACCGUCCUAUCCCCAACCGACACGAUGUCCAAAAUUUUAAACGGGGGAUAAGUUCGUAACUUUCCCCCAUUUCAGAGAAGCGCGUCCCAAAGUUUGAGACCCCCCCCCCUUCCCCUCCAUUUCCCCAUUCAUACAGCGUCGGCGGCACGACAACCUCCGCACUGCGGCCAGCCUCCUCCGUCCGCCACCCCGUCCUCCACCUUGCCGGAGCCGCUACCCCUACCCCGUCGUCCACUAUAAGAGAUGGACGUCUCUCAUCCACGGCACUGGACCAGGAUCCUUUCAUCGCCUCCUCUCGCUUGAUCGGCGCCGUCGUCCACCUUUUUGUUGCCGCUCCUACGACCGCCUCAUCCACGGCAACAGGAUAUAUCCCCCGAGCCGGCCGUCUGCCGUCUAAAGUCUUCUUCCCCGCCGCCGACAGCCAUCGCACCCGCAGCACCCUCAAUGUAUCAGCAUAGGCCUACACGGUUUUGCAAGAGAGGUGGUACUCUUCCAUAUGUGCUUAAGUUAUUGAUCUCACCCGUAAAAUAGAUCGUAAUUUGUUUACUGUAUUUUUCUUGUCCGUACCAAAUCGUAGUGGCUAGUUGAAAGCAAACAUUGGUUGCGAAGUUGCUUUGUCUGGUUUGCACCUUUAGAUCCGCCAUGGCACGGGCACUAUACUCGUAAAGCUUAUGGUUUCCCCCCUUUAUAUUCACUACCAUCAUCAUAGGUGCUUCGUGUCGUGCUAGCACUGCUCCUCAAGACCUCAACCCAAAGCUUAUGUGUUGAAAUAUGAAUCUGAUAUGAUGCUCAUAUCACUAAAACAGAGAACAUUUAAUUGGUCACCUAAUGUUCCUAUAUUCGUUUCGAAAAGCAUGUGUGCCACCCACUGGUCCAGCUAGUUCCACUUUCCUGAUUUUUCUCUUGAUGCUUAGGGUUUUCCCCUUUUAUCUACUAUACUAUGAUCUGCAUAGGUGCUUUCUGUCGUACUAGCAUUACUCCACCCUUCAAGCUAAAUAACACAACACUCAGAAUUCGAAAGCUUGGUCGUUCAAAUAUGAUUGUGAUAUGAUACUGAUAUUAGUUAACCGACACAUUUAAUUGGUUAGCUAAAGGUCCCACUUGAGUUUCCAAAUGCAUGUCGCGACAUAUAGAGAGACAGCAUAAUUGCAUUUCUUUGACACUUGUUGACCGUACUUUCUUGUCCAUACCAAAUCUUAGUUGUUAUUUCAAAGCAAACAUCAGUUGCUAACUACCCUUUGCGCGGUUUGUAGCUUCAGAUCUGCCAUCCCACUGCCACGGUCAACACUGUACUCAUCAUGCUUAUGUUUUCCCCAUUUUAUGAUGACCACAAUCAGCCUACGUGGUUCGUGUCGUAAUAGCACUGCUCCACCCAUCGAGCUAAACAAGCUUAGUUGUACAAAUUCAUAUCUAAUAUUAUUGUUGAUAUUAGUAAAACUGAGAGAUGUUUAAUAGGUUAGCUAAAUGUUCCUACUUUAGUUUCGAAGUGCAUGUGAGCCACAUAUGGAGAGAACAAAAAGAAUAGUAUUUCUCUGUGCGCUCUGGUUCAUCAUGGGUGGCCAACCGACAUUGUAUUGAAAGACUUGUAAUAUCUUCAAUCUGCUUGCUCUUCUGCUCUUCUUUAAGAUGAUACUCUUCUCUUGCGGUUGACUGGUCAGGUCGAGUUGUUCUCCCUUAGUAUAUUUUGAAUCUGUCAAGUCAGGUCGACUUAUUCUUCUUUACUAUAUGUUGAAGCUGUCAUCUGUGAAGUGUCAUCACUUCUGGAGCUCUCAUAUUUUGAGUAGUAGGCCACAUUAUAUUAAUGCACACAAAAAAUUACAGCAUGCAUGGCAUCUUUUAAAAGAAUUGCAGAGAUAGCACAAAGGGGUUUACAGGGAGGCAGUAUUGGAUUAGAAUCACUUCUGCAUUACAAAGAAAAUCUCACUAGUUUUUAUGUUUUCAUGCAUGUCAGAUAUUGAACAUUAUCAAAAUGAAUAUGAGAAUGGGUGCACGAUAGGAAUAUUGUGGAACGAUCCACUGGCUAACAAACUUGGCAUGGUGGAGGAUGGCCUAUCUUAUUCACCCAUCAAGGUGCUUGCUCUAACUUUGCAAAGUUGUAUUGGUCGCACAUAUUUUGCAUCUGACCUCUUGCAUUACUUCUACUUUGUUACACCAUCUGCUUAGUUUAAGCAUCAUAUAUGAGUAUAUGCCAUACCUAUCCAUUUUCUGUACCUUUUCCAUGUGUCUUCACACUAUGUUUUUCCAGUCAAAUGUUGUUCUAUCGUAAUAGAUGUCCAAAAGGAAGAGGUUGAGUGCAGAUCCUCAAGGAGUACAAACUAGGUAUUUGGAAAAGGUAGUGAUACAUGUUAAAUCAGAUAGAUCAGCAGCCACAGAAAACACAGGCCCAACUAUACCACACUUUACCCCUACUCCAGUGGCCAAACCCCUAUUAGAACUGCUGGGAGCCCAGCGUCAGGUACUGUCUAUGAUAUCAAUUCAAAAUUUGAACUCCUAAAUUUCUGCUUGUGCCUUACCUUCUCUCUUGUAUGAAAACUAAUUUCAGAUGAAUCUCCUUGCUCAAAGGAUCAUACGAUCUCAAAACAAUAAUGGGCUCUGCAUUGCUCUUGUCAGUACAUCUCUCCCUUUUGCCUUGUAACGCUGUACUUAAUUAAUUGCUAUUUGGUUAUGUAUCAUCAGUCUGCACCUGAGCUUCAUUAUCCUCUAUUUCUUCCAAUAUUAUUUGAUCUAUAUUUACUCUUUGCAAAAUGUAGAAUAAUGGCAACGCUUAUAAAGAAUUUUCUUUGGGGAAUUUAUUGAAUUAUCCUUCCAUCAACAUGGAGAAGGGCUUUGUCCAGCCCGUGUUAACAUGUAAUGUAAGUUCAUCCUUCUCAAGUCUUCAAACUUUGUUCUAGUAUAGAUUUGGAUAGGCAUCAUUUCCUCCACUCUGUUUGCUUCGCUGUUUACAUCUGAUUGGAUGUUUGCAACAACUACCAGUUUCAAAUUGUACUUGUAAAAACAUGUUCCUUAUGCAGAACAGAUCCAUUUAUUUGCUUAUAUAAUUGUGAAACCUGUUACGUGUCUCCUUGUUUCUCUUUCAGAGUCGUAUCUCUUACGCCAGGCAGAACUUUAGGGAAGAUAGUGAGCCAAACCAUCUUGAGGACAGCGAGAUGACCCCAAGGUCAUGUCUUGAUGAAGACAAUGAGUUGAAGCUACUCACCAGCAGGUGUGAGACAACCUCUGUGCAGUCGCUUCCUCAAUCAGUUCGACUUCUUCAGUCUCAACUUAAAGCGGAAAGGCUUGCUUCAGCUCAGCUCCGACUUGAAGUCAAAGAUGCAAUGAAGAUGUCAGAGGACUGCCGUGCACACCAUCAUGCCUUAAAUCUAGUGUUGAUGCAUCUAUCAUUGACACAACUGAGGUCUACUCAGCUUCUUCAGCUGUUUGGGGGGGGGGGCGACCUGGCCAGGCCUAGUGCCUUCUGAAGUGCUCUCAGUUUUGUAUAUUCUUUUGUCGGCGCAUUUAUUUGCACUAGUGGCGAACUUUGAUGCCCAGUGGAUGUAAUAUGUGUGAUAGCCGUGAUAGCCUAGCAUAAGUUGCUUGCUUAUUUAUUUCCUUGUUGUCUUGUUUAUUUGUUUGCUUGUAGUCAUAGUAGUUCUUUUUCCACGGUUUGCUAGUGGCUGCAAUAAGCUAUUUUUUUAAAACUAGGCCACAAUAACCAUGGGCUAAUAUUUACUGUAGUGGCACUGGGCCUCCUACGGGCCAUAAAAACAGUGGGCCUUCUACGGGCCGUAGAAACAGUGGGCCUUCUACGGGUCGUAGAAACAGUGGGCCUUCUACGGGCCGUAGAAACAAUGGGCCUUCUACGGGCCGUAUCGUCAAUGGGCCUUAUACGGGCAGUAUGAUCGAUUGGCCAAACAUGGGCCAAUAACAGGCCGCAAUAUGGUCGUAAAUGGGCUAGAGUUGGAAUCGUCCGUUCAUGGGCCGACCAUAACGGGCCAUCGUUAAUAGGCCGUAUUUGAUGACGCUAUGAAAACGGCCCAACGUAUUAACGGACCACAAACGGGCCGACUGUAACCACGGGCUGAAUUUGGCCCACAAGCAGAAAAUGACAGUAACGGGCCAUAAGUAAAUGAAUGUUGGAAAUGAGCCAAAGAAUAAAUGGGCUCUAAGAAGGCCGAAAGAUAACAUGGGCUGGAAACAGCCCAACGGAAUAACGGGUCGUUAAUGGGUAUAAAGUGAUACACUGUUCAUUACGGGCCAGUUUCACCACGGGCCGUUAAUGGGUGUAAAGUGAUACACUGUUCAUUACGGGCCAGUUUCACCAUGGGCCGUUAAUAGGCAAGAGUUACAUAGGGCCUCAUAUGGGCUGAAUGACGUCAUGGGCCAUACAUGGGCCAGAAGUGAAAACGGGCUGGAACCCGCCUUGCAAUGUUGAAGACAACCUGCGAGUCGGAUACGUCGUCAUUGAAGCCUGGUUCAGGGGCUACUAAGGGAGUCCUGGACUAAGGGGUCCUCGGGCAUCCGGGCUAUGUGACAUGGGCUGGACUAAUGGGCCAUGAAGAUAUGAGAUUAAAGACCUUUUCCCGUGUCCGGAUGGGACUCUCCUUUGCGUGGGUGGCAAGCUUGGCGUUAGGAUCAUGCACCUUCCUUUCUCUGUAAACCAACUUUGUACAACCCUAGAUCCCCCUGGUGUCUAUACAAACCGAAGGGUUUAGUCCGUAGGGCAAGAACACAAUCAUACGGGCUAGACAUCUAGGGUUUAGCCAUUACAAUCUCGAGGUAGAUCAACUCUUGUAACCCUAUACUCGUCAAAGUCAAUCAAGCAGGAAGUAGGGUAUUACCUCAUUAAGAAGGCCCGAACUUGGGUAAACAUCGUGUCCCCUGCCUACUUGUUACUCUCGAUCCUCAGAUGCACAGUUCGGGACCCCCUACUCGAGAUCUGACAGUUUUGACACCGACAGUGGUGCUCGAGGAUGUGACCGUGGUGACGGUGGAGCUCGAGAACGUGGCCAUGGUGAUGGUGGUGCUCGAGGACGUCGCCGUGGUGAGGUGGUGGCCGAGGCUUCACUUAUUGGCUUGGGGUGUGAAACUAAUGUAUGUGUGGAACUUAUGUAUGUCGUGAAUCUUUUGGGUGGUCGAACUUAUGUAUGUCGUGAAUCUUUUGGGUGGUCGAACUUAUGUAUGUCUUUUGGGUGGUUGAACUAUGUAUGUGUGGAACUAAUGUAAGUCAUGAACUUAUGUAUGUGUGGAAUCAAUGUAUGUGGUGGUUGAACUUAUGUAUGUGUGGAAGUUAUGAUGAAAACUGAAACUAUGUAAGUUACAAAAAACUAGAAACCACAUAAGUUACAAAAACAGAGAAGUGAUUGUCAUGGCGCCUUAAUUUAGGGCGCCAUGUUAGAAAGUACGGCACACCGGGCCAGGGCGUCAUACAUGGCGCCCAGGAAAAAUGAAUGGCGCCCCCAACAUCAGGAGCUUAAAAUCGUAUGACUUAGCUAUUUUACACGACCAUGGCGCCCUGGGCUGGGGCAUCGUGAUGGCAACGCAUGGCACCAUGGGCUGGGGCGCGUGCUGUAGACGACCAUGGCGCCUUGGGUUGGGGCGCCAUGUUGUCAACUUAUGUUUCUCCUUCUGUUUCUGUUUCUGUUUUUGAUUUCGAUGACAAAGCUACAAGGUUUCCGACAAUAAGUGUUGACAGACAUAAAUGACACACAUCAAAGUUUCCAACAAAUAAUUUAACGACAUCAAGUUUUGGACAAAUAGUACAAGUCCUCGACAAACAUAAGUUCAGGACAUCAAGUUUUGGACAAAUACUACAAGUCCUCGACAACCAUAAGUUCACGACAUCUAGUUUUGGACAAAUACUACAAGUCCUCGACAAACAUAAGUUCACGACAUCUAGUUUUGGACAAAAACUACAUCAACUUGACGACAAAUGCAUCAUUUCCUUCCUUUCCCCCUCUUAGCCGGUGCAGCAUCCUUCCCCUUCACUAAGCGCCUUCUCCUCUGGAGCUGCGGCACCUCCUCUUCCUCCUCCUCCUCUGAGGCGUCCUCGAUCACCGGGUCCUUGCGUGCCUUCCUUGUGUAUUUGCCCGGAGUAUACUUUCCACGCCUUUGACUAGGCUGAGGCGCAUCAGGCAUUUGCGAGGUGUUAAUCUCAUCAUGCAUCUAUUCAUCCCCCUCCUCCCCCUCGCCAUCAACCGAUUCGUCGCAUUGCUGCUGGCAGUCGCAUGAUGAUGAUCUUGACCUCGAAGCAGUAGGGACUGCGACAUCGGUGGAGCGGCAUCCUAGUAGAGCACCAAGGCCACGUGCCCAAGACAUGCUCCGCUAUGAAAUUAACAUAUCAAAUUAGGAGAUAUACCUCAAACAUGUGUAUGGAAAGCAAAUUAUCAAAUGUCAUACCUCAACAGAAGCUUUAAGCUUGUUGUACAACUCUUCACCUGGAGGAUACUUGAGUGCCUCGCCGGCGCCAUUGACAUGCUUCGGGAGCUCGUUUUGCUGUUGGACACAAUAGGACAAAUCAUUUUGGUACAAUGUAGGCAAGCAUAUAGAUAUAAUGGUAACUUACCACAAAGCGAUAGUUGGCGCCGAUUCAUACCGUCCGCCAUCUCUAAUAAGCCUGUUGUACUCCAUAUUGGCCAUCCGAUCAAAACCUGGAUUGGGUUCAUGUAAUAUGUCCCCUGGCUGAAAUGCGGGUGCGUUAAGUUGAGUACGUGCAACGGAACGAAACCACACAAGAUAAUCGUUGAAUGCUUCUGUAUCAAAAGGCCGUGGGGGAGGCUUAGAAGUGGGUUGACACAAUGAAAGCUCAAUCUUAUUGAGCUUGUGCUUGAACUCCUGGAUAUACAUGUCAUGCUCUCGAUCCCAAUUUUUUUAUACUCUUCUGCUUCAUGUUGUCGAGACUGCAUAGCAUUUGACAAAUGCAUUUUCGUUACUAUCUUCUAAACAAUGGAGAAAGCAUUUGAAGUGCUAAGCACUUACCUAUGCAAAUGUAGCGAAGUGUCCUUGUACUUCGGCGGGGUCUCUUGAAAUAAGCCAAAUUGUGUCAUAACUCGUUGUGGCUGAUAAAACUCAACAACAUAAUAACAAAACAACGGGCAACGCAUACGCCAUAAGUGUGCUUCCUGUAGACACUUUGAGUUAAGUUGAAAGUAAUAAAUCCAGCUCCCCUACCAAUGUUGCCCUCCAUUCCGUACGGUUCCCAGGUAACCUAUAAACAAAGAUUAAGAAAAAACUACAUUGUUAGUAUGAUUUUUGGAAAACCGAAGAACCGAAGAGAUAAAGAAAGAAGCUACUAAGAUAACCUACUCCAGGGUCAUGAUGUCAAGCUCGUUGCAGUAGUGCAAAUACAUGGUCUUUGAAUUGCCAACAAAACAUUCAACCUUGUCCCACUUAUACGCCCAUGUAGGCAUACGGUCUGGGUCAUGAUGAUCAUCUCACGAGUCGUAACACUUUGGUGUCGGCCGCCCCACUAGCAAGUGCUCCCAACUCCAAAUCAAUAAUGGAAGCAUGGGACCACCGAUGUUAGCUUCCUUUGACUCUACGACGUUUCUUGGAUUCGCGCCCUUACGGCACGCCUCGUCCAGCUACACACAAACAAGAAAUAUGUCAUUAUAAACUAGAGAAAAUUUCUACAUGGUGAACACACUAUUAUAAGCAAAACUACUUACCUGAUGAUACAAAUAAGCCAACACCGUCGUACCCCAACUGAGUCCAUGCUCCCACCCAGCAAACAGCUUAAGCCACAUAAAGGAAGCGUUCACGCCAGUGCCGUCAGAGAAAAGAGUCUGGCUGACUACAUACCACAAGUCUGCCCUGGUAUACUGCUGCAUUGUUUCAUCGUCCGAAUCAGGCGGGCAUUCCCCAAAGUGUUCGGCAAUCUAAUGAUAACUUGCACCGGCGGACUUCCUUUGUACCCCUGGCUCCCUCCCUAUGAGUCCAACCAUAAUCUCACGCCAUCCAUCAGAAUCUGUGCUAAAACAAAUAGGCUCUCCUUUGAUGGGAAGUCCAGUGAUCAAAGACACGUCCUCCAAAGUGACCGUCAUCUCCCCAGCAUAGAAGUGAAAAGUUUGGUGAUUUUUCACCGCCGCACACCGUCUUUUUUUUUCUUUUGAGGAGAACACCUCACACCUUCUUUGUGGCGCCAGCUCCUAUUCGGCGCCGGUAGCGCCACUUAUAGCGUUUUUCGUACGCGCGCGCACCCACCGAUUCGAUCGAAUUUAUGUGGGCCGCACACUAACAUGUAUACAUUCGAGAGUAAGUUCGGUCACUGGUUUUGCAAAGCCGCCAGAGGCUUCCCGGUAUGCUUUUUUUCUUUUUUUUGGUUUUAUUUAUGGUGCCUUUUGCCUUUUAUUUUAUUUUUAUUUUUAAAAUACGCCAACUUUUUCAAAAGUGAAUCUUACUCUAAAUCCGUGUACUUUUUUCAAAUGCAUGAAAAUAUUCAAAUCCACAAAUGUUUUCCAAAUAUGUGGUUUUUUCAAAAGGUGAAUCUCUUUUUAAAUUUGAGAAGUUUCUACAAAAUUGAUGAAGUUUUUCCAAAUCCGUGAUUUUUUUUCUUCAAAAUCAAUGUGUUUUUUUACAAAUCUGUGAACUUCGUAUUCAAAAUUGAUUAACUUUUCCAAAUCCAUGAGUUUUUUGAAAAAGACUGCAAACUUUUUUUCAAACUCAUGAACUGUUUUGAAUCCCCAUACAAUUUUUCUAAUUUGUGCACAUUAUUAUAGAAUUUCUGAUUUUUUUAAACCAUAAAAUAUUUCUGUAAAGAGUCAACGGUCAAAGAUCUAUGGACAAUGGUCUGCGGCCAGAGGUCAAAGGUCAAGCUCUCAGUGAUCAGCGGGUCAAACGAGUUAGGGCAUGUACAAUGGUGCUAUCUUAAGAGUACCACGUAGGAUAAAUAAUGAGGUGGAGGAGAGAGAAUUCAUAAGAGAAGACUUGUCUUCUCUUAUUUAAGAUAAGACAAGAGAUGAUCUCUUAGUACAAUAUGUCUCACCACAUUUUUAGGAAUUGCUAAUUAUUGAAGAUAAGGCUAAGAGAUGACCCAUUGUAGACAUUUUUCUUUGUCAUAUCUAAAUUACAUGCAAAACUUAAGAUAAGACUAUCUUAUCAACCAUUGUACAUGCCCUUAGCAAAUCAACAGGGAAUCCGCUUGAGCGACCGCUCGCGUGAAAGCCAGUUUAUUGGGCCGGCGGCCGACGUUGCGUCACUGGGCGUUAAAAAAUAUUUGUUCGUUGACAAUUUAAAAUAAACCUUCCAAGUACUUCAAGAACUUAAAUACUCUUUAAUAGAUGAAAAUAAAAGAAUUUCUAAUUUCGAUAGUAACAUAAUGUUGGAUCCAUUCCUUUUGAAUUGUCACUUUGUCCAUCAUGUGUCUUGGGAAGAGACAUUGGCAAUAAUUCACCUUGGACAAAAGCGAGUGCUAACGAGCCUCUGUGGGAUCGAUGCUCACACAAGUUCAAUGUUUUUGAAUUUAGAUAUACUGGGCCAGGUUGAAUAUGGACGAGUUGUGUUGUGCAGAUUUAAAAAAAAACAAAUGCAUGAUUUUUUUCACCUUUUUCAAACUUAGAGAUACACAUUUUCACUAAGCUACUAUGUUUCCCAUUCCAAAAUGUGAGGCAUGCACACAAUCCAAUAUUUGUGUUUAGUUUAACUAUUUAAAUGUGAGCUAUGGGGCACAAAAAAGAUUUAAUGUGGCCACUCUUGUGUCUCACAAACAUUUUGUGAAAAUAUUAGGUAAACUUAAAUUUUGGGAUCUGUGUAUGGCUUACAGUAUCCUAAUUCACUAUAGGCCGCCCAUUUCGUUCGAUCCAAUGGUAAUUAAUUUAUACUAAUAACUUUUAACAUGAAUACUCCCUCCGUUUCAAAAUAAUUGAAGUUCUACGUUUGUUCUAAGUUAAACUUUUUUAAAUUUGAGCAAGUUUACAAAAAAAAUAUGGUAAGAUCUACAAAAUUAAGUAUACGUAUGUAUGAAAGUAUAUCUUCUAAAGAUUCUAAUGAAUUUCGUUUUGUGUUCUAUCUAUUGAUAUAUUUUUCUACAAACUCUGUCAAACUGGAAGAAGUUUGAUUUAGAAAAACCUAAAACUUCAAAUAUUUUGAAACGGGCAGUAGUCUGAUGUAUGCAACCCAAACUAGAUGAAUGUUAUAAAGUAGUAGCAUGAGCGUCCAGGGUUUAAAAUGGAAAUGAAUAAUGGCACACAAAUCGCGCACAUUCAACCUGCCCCAAUAUAUCUGAAUUCAAAAACAUUGAACUUGUGUCAGUGUCGAUCCCACGGGAGCUCGCUAGAGAUGGAAGCACCGCAACCAUCCCAAAAGUAUUUCCUCCCCCUCGCCAUUGCCACCAUCGAUCUAGUCAUGGCGGAGAUGGAUCAAGGGUCCUUCUCGUGCAUCCAUGGUCAUCGACAUGUAGGACAACGACCAUGGUUUCCAUGCUCUCUCCCAUGAAAGUUUAAAUAUGUCAAAAAUCAUUCGUUUUUAUGUGAAAAUUAUCCAAGAAAUGGAUAUCGUGUGGGUUGUUUAAAUAUGCAUCAAUUUUGUUCAAUUUCAUUAUUUUUUAUGAAAAUGCAACCGGACAUAUACGGCUAGCUUCAGAUGGCCGGCUCCGGCAUCAUUGUCUGCGGACUGGCCCCCCCUGAAUCCGCGGAUUGGUGCGGUGUUCGGUUUAUGGGUUGGUGUUGAAGAUGCUCUAAGGGGUUGUUUGGAUAGGUGGGAUAUAUAGAAUCCAUUCUCUAUAAACUAGGAAAACGGUUUAACAGAAUAAAACUCUGUUUGGCUACCCUAACAAAUUCCUGGAUAUAGGAAACUUGUUUCCUGUAAACCCAGAAUUUCGGGUUUAUGGAAAAACGACUCUUACUCGUUUUUUCUAAAAACGUGAUUUGCAUAUUCCCAAUGCUCAUCCAAAGAGGAGCCAUGGCGCCGCCAUGGAGUUCAUCCUCCAUUAUUCUAGCGGUGCGACGACGUCGGGGACCAGGAGGAGCGCCCGCCGACGGCCUUGCUCGGAAUCGUUGAAGCCGAAGGAGAGGCGAGAAGUAGCCCGAGGCAAAGUUUGUGAUGGGGUGACGACCUCGCUGACCAGGGGAAGCGCCCGACAGCGACCGCGCGGAGUCGUGAAGGCCGGAAGGAAGGCGAGCAGCAGCCCGGGGCAGAGUACGUGCGGUGGCGACGAUCUCGACAACUAGAGGAAGCGCCCGCCGACGGCAGCUUGCAGAGUUGUGGAGGCCUGAAGCAAGGUGAGGAGCAGCAAGGGGUAGAGUCUAUUUGGGAGCGGCCACCUCGGCAACCAGAGGAAGAGCCCGGCCAGCGGCCGCAUGCGGAGCCACGGUGGCCGGUGAGAACGCAAGCAGCAGUCAGCGACGAGAUAAUGCCGGGACGACGACCUCGCGGCCACCAGGGGAAGCGCCCACCUGCAGCCGCACGCCGACUCACCGGGCUCGAGGUCAGGCGAGAUGCAAUCCGACCACCAUGGGAAACGCUCGCCGGGGCCGCGCUCGGAAUCAUGGUGGCUGGAGGGAAGGUGGGGUAGAGGAGUCGGUCACGCUUGGGAAGAUGUCGGGGGUUGGGUACGACAUAUGCCAAAGGAUGGCUUAUCAUGGUGGGAGCGAGUAGAACGUUGCCGGUGCCCGGAAGCGGGAUGAGGCGAAGACAUGCACGCCGGCGGAUCUUACCCAGCUUCAGGGCUCUCCGUGGAGAUAACACCCCUAAUACUGCUCUGCGGGGUCUCCGCAUGGUCACUAUGGCAAAGUGAGUACAAUGGUGCUCCUGGAGCUGUUUCUGGAGGUAGAAGAGGGCAAGGCCAGCUCUCUCCUUCCUAUUUUCUGGGGUCUAGUGCUAUCUGGGUCCGAACCCUUUGCAUGGGAUCUCUUGGGGGUUUAUAUAGGCCUACCCCCAGGGGUACAACGGUAAUCCGGCUGGGCGCGGGUCCCAGCCGUCUGUCUCUCAGGCCGUCGUCUUCUCCGCCGACUACUGGGGCCCACCGACUGGCGGGCCCCGCGGAUAGGCCUGGUACUGUAGCGGUGCUUCUGAUGACGCUGGCUUGGUCAUGAGGUCAUUGCAACAGUGCUGCCGCCUGGCGUGCGUUUACUGUCGCCAUUCCCCAUCUUGUCUGAUUAAUGGCGUGCGGGGCCCGCGGGAGGGGGCGGCCGACUCCAGGGGCCGACUCCCACGGAUCCGUCUUCAAGGCGCGCUCGCCGUCUUCUAUCUACCCGCUGACAGGCGGUCCUGCUGUCCUUGGGUCGUACAGGCAGGCGUCGUGGGCACAGUGCGCCGCCCACCAAGGCUGAGGUCAGGGCCGGCAUGGCAACAGUGCCGCGCCAUGAUGGAUAUCUCCAGCGAUAUGGCGCACUGUAGCCAUGCUGGUCCUUCGUGGGCAGGGUAGAGACGGCCAUGCUGGUCCCCCGCCCUGUCCACCGCGGGCGAAGGCAGGGGGUGGUUGGAGUCGCGAGCCGACUACCCUCAGCCGGCUUCUCUGGAAGUCGUCAGCUGAGAGUCGGCUUAUCUUGGAGUCGGUUCUGGGACUCGGCAUAUCUGGGAGUCGGUUCUGGGACUCGGCAGAUCUUGGAGUCGGCUCUGGGACUCGGCAUAUCUAGGAGUCGUCCCCGGGACUCGGCAUAUCUGGAGUCGGUUCUGGGACUCGGCAGAUCUUGGAGUCGUCCCUGGGACUCGGCUUGAGGGGCGCAGCCUGUCCCGAUGUCUUGAAUGGUUCUGGGGCUCGGGUUGGCCUACCCGUGGCCCAUUGCUCCGACAGUAGUCCCCGAAGCUGGUGAGGCUCCGCGGAUACUGCGUCGUGGGGCUUCAACAGUUUCAUUCCUCUGGUGGUGGAAUCUGGGCUUCGCUUGCCGUCUUCCUUCUGGCCGACUAUCCAAAAUCGAACUCGCAGAGGUCCGUCUUGCUCCUUAAGGAGUUCGAACAUCACGGCGGGAAACCAGGCGGCGUGCCUGAUACGCUUCCCCGUGGUCACCCGUCGCUGCCCCGUCGCUCGGUGCCACGCGGCGAGGUCAGUCUGCCUACCCACGCGCGCGACGGGACAUGCCGUUAGGUGGGGCCCGCCACUACCGUGCCUCGGUAUCCGAACAGAUCUGUUGCGGUCGCGCGUACGGUUGGGUUUCCCACGUAGUUACUACACGCAGUAACUUCGUGGGGUGAAUCGUGGGGGAGGGCGUGGGGUCCCGUGCGCAGUUAAUCCCACGCUUGCCCCAUCGGCUUCUCAGCCUAUGAGGCUAUAAGUAGGCGGGGGGAGAGGAGCGGCGAAGCACGCGCGCCCAUCUUCCCUGCUCCCCCGCCUCCUCCUGCCUCCUCUGCUUCCUGUCUCCUUCUUGCCGCCGUCGUGCUGCACCACGCCGCGCCCACCACGAUGAGCUCUUCCUUUGCCGUCGCGACUCCCUCCGUUCGCUCCGGCGUGUGGGACGGCUCCGACGUGGACGACGACCUCAUUGAGUUUCUUCGCAAGACGCACCGCCUCCCCGGUGCAAACCUCGUGCGCGCCCGUGCCGCGCCGACGGGGGAAAUACUGCCGGCGCCGGAGGAGGGCGAGCGGGUCAUUUUCCGCUCGCACCUCAUGCGCGGCCUGGGGUUGCCAGCGAGCGGCUUCUUCCGCUCCUUCUUGGAGCUCCACGGGCUCCAGCCGCACCACCUCACACCGAACACGGUGGUGGUGCUGGCUGCCUUCGCCAUCCUGUGCGAAUGCUUCCUCGGCGUUCUCCCCACCAUCGAGCUGUGGGGAGAAUUCUUCCAAUCCAAGCUCGGCACGCACGUCGCCGGCGUGCCGGCCCAGUGCAGUGCCUUCAUCGCGAUGCGGCGAACGACAGCCGACAAUCCGUUUCCCUCCAUCCCGCUGAUCAAGUCGGUGAGGAUGUGACUGCGGUCUUAUUUCUACGUGAAGAACGUCGCCCCAGACGGCGACUGGGUCAAUCUGCCGCCUUACGAAGCCAGCGCACCGGCUGGGAGGCUCCCCAGCUGGUCCCACCGAGUCAAAACGCUGACUCCCGCCGGAGCCGCCGCCGUAGCGCGACUCCGAGUUCUGACACAGUCGGAGGGCCUGGAUGGAGCCGACUUGCUGGCCGCCUUCGUGGCGUGCUGAGUCCUCCCUCUCCAAGGCCGGCCUCAUCUGAUCAGUCAGAUGAGCGACCACCGGGACCCGAGUCGGAUGUGCACCAGGCACAUGCCCCGUGCAGAAGUGGCGAACAUGGUGAACCACAUCGCAAACUGUGAGCUCGCGGUGGACUGGCAGUUCGGCAAGGAGCCGUACUCGCGCGCCAACCCUCCUCCGGCGGUAAGUCGCAUCUCUUGUUGCUCUGUUUUCUUUGUAGCCGAAUCCGACUUCUAAUCUUUUCGGUUUCUUUGAGUCAGAAUCCCUUCAUUCAGCCUGCAGCCGGCGUUGAAAGACCGCCCCGCGAGUUCGUCCCCGACCGGGCGGAGAGCGAUGUCGAUGACCCCGACUUGGGGGCGGCGACGAUGGAGGCCGACGCCGAAGGCGGAGGCGGGGGAGCGGGAAGCAGCUUCAGGACCUCGGCCACCUUCGCCGACUGGCCUGAAGACGAUGUCGAAGGGGAAGUCGUCCCGCGCCGCCAGCCAAGGGUUGGCCCGCCGGGUGCGAGUUCCUCCGCCGGCCAAGGCGGCGCGAAGAGGCGCCACGCCGGGCCGAGUUCACUCGGCGGCAAGCCGAAGAAGUUCAAGGGGGCAGUCGCCGCAACCAAACGGGAGGAGGUGGCCGUGAAGGCCAAUCAUUUCCGCAAGGAAGUGAAAAGGCCGCCACUGGUCUCUGCGUAAGUGCUUCUGUCUUCGCCUUAUUUUCCUUUGGUAAAUUCUGUUCGAGUUUUUUUAACACCCCCUCCUUGCUUCAGGGCUCCUCUUACCCUUGAGAGGGUCGCCGCCCCCUUCGUCAUGGGGUCGGUGGAGACGUCCGCCAACACUCGGUGGGUUGACCCCACCGCCGACCUCCGGGAGGCGACGGAGCGAAACGCGCGGGAGAAGCGGGACGAGGAUGAGGCCGACCGCCUGGAGAAAGCGAAGGCUGAGAAGGCGGCGGCCUCCGCCCAGAAAAAACUGGAAGAGGCUGAAGCCGCCGUUGCAGCAAGACGGCAAGCCGAGGAGGCCGCGCACCGCUAAUCGGCGUUGUUCGUCAUCCCGCUGUCCUCCGCGCCGCCGCCCCCGAAGUUCACGGGGCAGACUAGAGAAGCCAGCGCCGAGAACCCCGUCGUGGAGAAGGAAAGCGGCGAGGCCUCCAUGUCGGACACGCUCGUGCCGCCACCGCCGCCUCCGCUGCCGUCUGGGAGCGUGCGUGGAGAACAGCCGGCGGGCCUGCUGGUGCCGCCGACUGCGGACGAGUCCGAGGCGAGGCUGCUUCUCCAAGUUGCCUCGCCAGUGCGCCGCCAUCUUGAGAGGGCGACCUCGGCGCCGCGACCCCUGGAGACCGGCGCCGCCAUCUCGGCAAUCCCAGACGCCGAGGCGACGAGCGCCGCGCCCGUUGGGUGGUUGCGCGGAGGCGGCACAGGUCCGCUGAACCAAGCGCUUCUGGACGUCCAGGCGAAGCUGUGAGCCGAGGGCGACGCCCUCCAAAACUGCACCAGGGCGCAUCUGGCAGCGCGAACGGCCGUCCGAGUAUGUCUCCCUUUUUAAUUCUUGUUUUUCUUGUUCUUCUCUGUGGGGGCGCGCCGGCGCACCCACUGGGUGUAGUCCCCGAGUUUUGGGCCGGCUGCUGAGCAGGCGGCUCGGAACUCCCUCUGGCGAGUUCCAAAUAUUUAACUUUGCCUGAAAUGCUUAUUACAGGAGUAUCAUAACCUCCGUGCUACUGCCUUCAACCGCAAUGUUGAGGAGCUGGGCAAGCGGACCGCCGACUUGUCGGAGAGCCGGAGUGAGUCCUUCUUCUUUUUCGCGAGGGCCCGCUGGCGCACCCGCGGGCUGUAAUCCCCGAGGUUUGGGCCGACUGCUGAGCAGUCGGGACGGAUCUUCUCAGCGACUUUCUUUGUUGACGACUUAUCGUCUUUUUUCUUUUUUCUUCUUCAGGGGCCAACACCACUCUUCAGUAGCAGCUGGGCGAGGCCAGCACCGCCUUGCGCGCCAAGGGGGAGGAGUGCAGCAAGCUCGUCACGGAGCGUGAUCUGCUGGCUGCGCAACUGGCGGAGCAAAAGGAGCUGCUCAAGAAGGCGCAGGAGGAGGCAGAUAGGAAAGAGGCUGCGCUCUUGGCCGAGUUCGAGAGCGAGCGCUCCUCCUGGACCGAUAAGGAGGCGCAGCUGACUUCCGGCUUCCAUGAGAUCGAGAACAUCGUCGAUGGUGAGUUUCUUGGUUUCCUUUGAGCCGCCGACUGUGGGUCGGGCCAACUAUUGACUCUAACUUGUUUUCUUUUUUGUCUUGGCAGACUUCUUUCCUGGCCACUCGCAGGCAGUCACACAGGCCAUCGAGGCCAACCGCGAGGCACGGAGGGCAGAUGGCACGGAGAUCACUGCUAACGUCUCCCUGACCAUCGACGAACAGCUUCUGAGCAUCGAGGCCCGUCUUCGGCCGGCCCAUCGGUUGAUGCACCGGCUUCAGCGUGCUGGCGCCCAGGCGGUUGCCGCUUUGUGGCCGGACGCGCCGGUUCUGCGCACUGCCAGUCGGACUGUCGACUGGCUGGAGGUCGCAGUUGGCCGUCUUGAAGCCUGGAAGGGUUCCUCGACUCGGGCCGGAGCGCGUCGAGCCUUGGAAUUUGUCAAGGCGUGGUAUCCGGGGCUGGACCUGGACCGGCUGGCCGCGUUCCGGUCAGAGGCCCAGGAGGAGCUGGUGGCUGUGGAGGGCGCCCUCGUCGAGCGUGCGGUGGCGAUUGCCGAUUACACAGAUACCAGCGUCUUCGUCCCCGAGCGGCCUACAGGCGGCGAGGAGGUGCCGCCGGAGUGGUUCGGGAUGAACCCGGACUACGACGAGUACUCGGCAGAGGUGAUUGGCUCCAGCACCGAGGAGGAAGACGAGGCGGAGGACGAAGGCGAGACGGAGGUGCCAGAGGAUGGAGCGGGCGACCAGCCUCAGCUCGACCGCGCCUCCAGCAACGAGCCGCGUCCGGAGAAGGCGACUGCCGCCGGAGGCGGUUAAACCGAGACUACCCAGCCGGCCACCCCGGCGCCUGACACCGCCGUCUCCUCCGACCCUCCGAACCCGGAUGCCGCCUCCUAGGCUGCCGUCUUUGCCUUCGCUUUAUCUGCCUUAGUAGUCUUUUGAGAAACUUUGUUAAAUUCGAACAAUUCCACCCGCGGGGUGUAUCUUGAACUUCUGCUUGAAGAUUCGGCCAAGGGCCUAUGUAAAUAUUUAUCUGAGUUCUAUCUUUCCUUACUCAUUGCUCUUUAGGCUUUUUGCCUUGCCGCCUUCCCUUAGUUGCCGCCUUGCCAGACGGACAACCGCUCUGCGGAAUGCCGCUGGAUCAAAUGCUUGGCUACUUUAGAAAGGCAAGUACUCGGCCAUUUUAGAGUCUCUCUAACAAGUUGGAUAGAAAGCGGCAAGCCGACUACUAAAGAGUCGGCUUUCCUUAAUAGAGGCUAGUAGAAAGCGGCAAGCCGACUACUCAUGAGUCGGCUUUUGCUUAAAAGAUGCUGGAGGCCAUCUUAGGCUAUGUUUGUGCCCUGGUUCCUUAGCCAUUUUUCGUAUGGGCGCCCAUUCUUCCUCACUCCUGCCAACCAAACAGUCGCUCUGCGAGCUGCGGCUUUGGACAGGAGGCGGCUUAGGCGCCACACACUACUUGUCUGACUGCGGGAAGCACCUCAUAGCACAAGGCGGCGAGUCCCCGGGCCGACUAGUCGAGCCCGGUGCCAAGCAGCAUUAACAAAGAGUAAUAUACUCGAAGGCAUAAUUCUUAUCAUACGGAUAACAAAAAGGGCAGUCCCCGAGCUCGUCUCGGGGGGGGCCCAAAGUCUUGAUACUUUAAUACAAAGGGUAGCGUGAUACAUACUGCAUCAACUGCAUCAACUGUAAAAUCUAUCAGGAUCUUGCCGGUUGGUGAGCAGGAAAGGCCAGGAACAAUGCCGUGGAACACAGUCCGGCUGCUCUGAAGUUGUCUUCGCUUGAUUCCUAACUUCUCCAUCAUAUCCUUGUACAGGAUGUUGAUACUGCUGCCUCCGUCUAUCAGCACUCGCGAGAAGCAAGCGGCCCACCUAUCUGCGGCGAGUGUGGCGCCUAAGACCAGGGCGUAGGAGCCUGGAUUUGGCAUCACCUUUGGGUGGUCAGCUCUGCUCCAACUGAUGGGUCUUUCCGACCAGUGCAUGAACUCUGGAGUGCUUGACGCAACUGCGUUCACCUCUAGCUGCUGCUGGCGCCUGCUGCGUCGAUCGUCAGCCACACUGGUGAACACCACAUAGGCUUCGUGUUCAUCUGGGAACUCGUCUUGUAUCACGCCGACUGGCCUGACAGCCGGCUGCUGGGGUGGUGGUGGAGGAGGCGGCCCAGCAGGCGGGGGAGGGAGUAGGCCGUCUCCUUUGGCGAUUCUGGUCAGCCAGUGGCAUUUCCGGGUGGUGUGGUUUGACGGCUUCACGCCGCUGUGGAACUUGCAGGGGCCAUCCAGGGUCUGCUCGUAGGAGAAGGCCGGCAACUAGUUGGACUUGCCGCCUUUCUGCCGCUUCGUCAAAGGCGGCCCCUCCGGCUGUUGGUCUUCGACUGUCGCCACUUGCCGGCUGUUGGAAGCCGGCCGUGGGGCCUUGCGCUUGUGGUCGUUCUGCUGUUGCCGCCGACUGGUGUCCCCCGCCGGAGUUCUUGGAGCCUGAGGGGCGACUUUGCCAGUCGCGCUGACUUGAAUCUCCGCCUUCAUGGAGGAGUCGGCCGUGGCGUACUUGUCUGCUGUGAUCAGCAGCUCAUCGAGGGUCUCCGGCUCGUCGCAGAGGAGUUUGUGCUUGAGAAGGGUGCCUUCUCUGCACCCGGCAGUAAAGUACUCGAUAGCCUGCACCUCGUGCACGCCCUCGCAGGAGUUCCAAAGCUCGGCCCAGCGCGUGAGGUAGUCACGAGUGGACUCGUCGGGACCUUGCACGCACAAGGAGAGUUGGCGAGGCUUGGGAGGUCGCUUGUAUGUGCUCGUGAAGUUGCGGACGAAGGCCUCGGUGAAGUCGACCCAGCUGUUGAUGCUACGGGGCUUCAAACUGUUCAACCAUGUCCGGGCCGUGCCCUGGAGCAUGAGCGGAACAUAUCUCACGGCAACACGCUUGUUGCCGUUUGCUAUAUUGACGGCUGUGGAGUAGUCAAUCAGCCAGUCCUCCGGCUUCACGGUGCCGGUGUAUUUGGGCGUGUCUCGGGGGAGCGUGAACCCUUUGGGAAAAGGCUCAUCUCGGAUGCGGGGUCCGAAACAGGGGGGACCCGCGAGGAGGCUCUCGGGGCCGCUCGUGCCUGCGUCGGACGCAGGCUCAUCGGAGAGGCGAACCUCACCGAUAAGCUCGGCGAGGCAGCUGGCCGCGCCGGCGAUCUCAGCGCCGUGCAGCGCGUCGGCACAGACUCCAUCUGGCGUGUCGGGCUGGCUGUGCUCGCCAGGGAGAAAAAGGGUUCCCGUCCAGAGCAGGUCUCCGGAUGACGGUGCACCUCGCCCCACGAUGGGCGCCAAAUGUCGGGGGUUGGGUACGACAUAUGCCAAAGGAUGGCUUAUCAUGGUGGGAGCGAGUAGAACGUCGCCGGUGCCCGGAAGCGGGAUGAGGCGAAGACAUGCACGCCGACGGAUCUUACCCAGCUUCAGGGCUCUCCGUGGAGAUAACACCCCUACUGCUGCUCUGCGGGGUCUCCGCAUGGUCACUAUGGCAAAGUGAGUACAAUGGUGCUCCUGGAGCUGUUUCUGGAGGUAGAAGAGGGCAAGGCCAGCUCUCUCCUUCCUAUAUUCUGGGGUCUAGUGCUAUCUGGGUCCGAACCCUUUGCAUGGGCUCUCCUGGGGGUUUAUAUAGGCCUACGCCCAGGGGUACAACGGUAAUCCGGCUGGACGCGGGUCCCAGCCGUGUGUCUCUCAGGCCGUCGUCUUCUCCGCCGACUACUGGGGCCCAUCGACUGGCGGGCCCCGCGGACAGGUCUGGUACUGUAGCGGUGCUUCUGAUGACGCUGGCUUGGUCAUGAGGUCAUGGCAACAGUGCUGCCGCCUGGCGUGCGUUUACUGUCGCCAUUCCCCAUCUUGUCUGAUUAAUGGCGUGCGGGGCCCGUGGGAGGGGCCGGCCGACUCCAGGGAGCCGAUUCCCACGGGUCCGUCUUCAGGGCGCGCUCGCCGUCUUUUGUCUACCCGCUGACAGGCGGUCCCACCGUCCUUGGGUCGUACAGGCAGGCGUCGUGGGCACAAUGCGCCGCCCACCAAGGCUGAGGUCAGGGCCGGCAUGGCAACAGUGCCGCGCCACGAUGGAGAUCUCCAACGAUAUGGCGCACUGUAGCCAUGCUGGUCCUUCGUGGGCAGGGUAGAGACGGCCAUGCUGGUCCCCCGCCCUGUCCACCGCGGCGAAGGCAGGGGGUGGUUGGAGUCGCAAGCCGACUACCCUCAGCCGGCUUCUCUGGAAGUCGUCAGCUGAGAGUCGGCUUAUCUUGGAGUCGGUUCUGGGACUCGGCAUAUCUGGGAGUCGGUUCUGGGACUCGGCAGAUCUUGGAGUCGGCUCUGGGACUCGGCAUAUCUAGGAGUCGUCCCCGGGACUCGGCAUAUCUGGAGUCGGUUCUGGGACUCGGCAGAUCUUGGAGUCGUCCCUGGGACUCGGCUUGAGGGGCGCAGCCUGUCCCGAUGUCUUGAAUGGUUCUGGGGCUCGGGUUGGCCUACCCGUGGCCCAUUGCUCCGACAGAAGACCUGAUGCGUGAUAUAUGACAGGUUUCCAAACAAAGAAUUACAAAGACCUAAUUAGUUACUUUCCCAACACAAACACGAUUUUGCAUAAACCCGUUAUGGAUAAAAAUGGUAUUAAAACAGGUUUUGUAAAAAACCUGCUAAAAACUCGUUGUGUAUAUUCCUAUGACUAACGCCCGGUAUCCAAACAACCCCUAAGUAUAACAGUAAAAGUAGUAUACGAUCAACAAAAAAAAUAAGGGGGAAAAAAGGCAGUAAUCUGAACUGAAUGUCCACCCAGUCAGUUAGUUACCGCUAAGUUCAGGCCGGCCCCGAUACGAUGGUCGUCGGCGGGAACCCGCCCGCGGCAGAUCGCAGAAACUAGGGCGAGCGUGCGACGGCGUCGGGUACCGUCUCGACCGCGCGCCUCCUUUCGCCCCCGGCAUGAUGGCGGCGGCACCGCAGCCCGAGCAGCCGGACCUGGGCGGACUGGUGGACGCGCUCUGCGCGUCCGGCCGCUCCGCCGAGGCGCACCACCGCGUCGCGCUCCUCCUCUCCUCCGCAUCCGCGUCGCGCCGCCUCGACGCGCCCACCGCCAACGGCCUCCUCGCCCGCCUCCUCCGCGCGCGCACGCCCCUCCUCACGCUCCGCCUCGUCCAGGCCGCCCCGUUUGUGCCCUCCCUCCCCAACUACAACCGCCUCCUCGCCCUGCUCUCCUCCGCCGCCGCGCCCAUGUUCCUUCUCCUCGCCCACCGCCUCCUCCUCCGCAUGCGCGUGCCUCCGAGCGCCGUCUCCUAUGCCGCGCUGCUGGACGGCUACGCGUGCGCCGCUGACCCUCGCGCAGCCCAGAAGCUGCUCGACGAAAUGCCCCGGUGGGGGCUCGCCCCCAGCUCCCUCGCGCGCACCUUCCUCGUCAAGGCCUUCCUCCGCAGCCGCGACGUCGGCGCGGCCAUGGACCUCGUCGACAACCAGCUCUGGCCCAGCAUGGAGCGCUGCCACGACGAGGACCAGGGGCUCAAGAACGCGGCGUUUGCCAACCUUGUGCAGUGCCUGUGCGGCGAGGGGUUCUUCCACAUUGUCUUCGGCGUCGCCGAGGAGAUGCCGCAGCGGCGCUGCCUCGUCCCAGACGAGUUUGCCUAUGCCCAGAUGAUCGACUCGCUCUGCCGGGCUGGACAGCACCAUGGCGCCUCCAGAAUAGUGUACAUCAUGGGGAAGAGGGGCCUGUGCCCAAGCACCCUGUCCUACAACUGCAUUGUUCACGGGCUAUGCACCAGCCAGAAGCCCGGGGGACGCUUGAGGGCGUACCAGCUGGUGAUGGAAGGUAUGCGUUCCGGGUACCGACCGAGAGAGGUAACAUACAAGGUACUCGUCGAAGAGCUCUGCCGGGAGAAAGAGCUUGCCAAGGCCAAGGAUGUCCUGGAGCUGAUGCUGCAGCCUCAAUGUGGGCAUGAGAAACCUGAUGAGGAGACCAGGACUAGGCUAUACAAUAUGUUCCUUGGGGCACUGCGUGCUGUGGACAACCCAAGCGAGCAGCUCAGUGUGCUUGUGUCCAUGUUGCAGGGGGACUGCAAACCAGAUGUCAUCACUAUGAACACUGUCAUUCAUGGCUUCUGCAAAGUUGGGCGUACCCAGGAGGCUAGAAAGAUUUUGGACGACAUGAUUAAUGGGAAAUUCUGUGCUCCUGAUGUUGUCACCUUCACCACACUCAUUUCUGGAUACCUGGAUGUAGGCGAGCAUGCAGAAGCCCUCCAUGUGCUGCACACCUUGAUGCCCAGGCGCCGGUGCGCCCCUAAUGUUGUCACUUACAAUUCUGUCCUCAAGGGAUUGUUCUCCCUUGGGCUAGUUGACAGAGCAAUGCAGGUCAUCGAUGAAAUGAAAUCAAGUAGCAUCAUUGCCGACUCUGUGAGUCACACUGUGGUGAUCAAAGGGUUGUGCGAUGCGGGGCAACUUGAGAAAGCAAAGGCAUUCUGGGACAAUGUGGUCUGGCCAUCAGGGAUACAUGAUGGUUAUGUGUACAGUGCAAUCUUGAGAGGCCUCUGCAAACUGGGGAAACUGGAGCAGGCAUGCGAUUUCCUGUAUGAGUUGGCGGACUCUGGGGUUUGUCCCAGUGUUGUCUGCUACAACAUACUCAUUGACACUGCCUGCAAGCAGGGAUUGAAGAAGUUGGCCUAUCAAUUGGUGAAGGAGUUGAGAAGGUAUGGCCUUUCACCGGAUGCUGUGACUUGGAGGAUUCUUGAGAAAUUGCACCUUUAUGGCAAUGAAGAACAAGAGGAGGAGCACCAGGUCCCCACUUUUCAUGUCGAUCAAAGUUCUGCAGAUGACAAAGUAGAGCCUAUCGUCUCGACAAAAAAUGAGAUGCCUUCAUUGUCAUCGUCAUCAUCGUCAGAACAUUUGGAUGAAGUAUGCAAGAAUAACAACGAAGCUAAGGUUGAAGAAGCUGGAAGGUCACUAGAAAUGACUGAGAACCCAUCAGAUCUUACUGAGCCAGCGAAAGAGCAGAACUAUCUGAUAGACAAUUCAGUGGUUGGACCAACAAUGGACAAGGAUCAUACAAUCAGUGAUGAUGGCUUCAACAAGCAGUAUAAGCAACCUCUAAGAGAACCACUUUCCGAAGUAGCCAGAAGGGUUUUUGGCUUGCUCUAGAACAAGAAAAAGUGUUGCUGGUUAGAAGGGGCACAUACUUUUCAAAAAAAAAAAGAAGGGGCACAUAUUAGAACAUUGUGCAAUGAAGGCUAAUUUUUUAUUGUUAUUUUGCACCUGUCAAUGAAGGCCUAGUUAGUGACAACGGCAAAGCUGGUAACUUGUCCACCUAUUGGAGAAUAAGGCUUGAGCUUGACUGACACAACUUAUUUUUGGCUGCACUUGACAUAAGCUUAAAGGGCAACCUGGUGCAUGUAGCUCCCGCUUGCGCAGGGUCCAGGGAAGGGUCCGACCACUUUGGGUCUAUAGUACGCAGCCUUUCCCUACAUUUCUGUAAGAGGCUGUUUCCAGGACUUGAACCCAUGACCUCAUGGUCACAAGGCAGCAGCUUUACCACUGCGCCAAGGCUCCCCUUCUGCACUUGACAUAAGCUUGUCGAUAACAAAUCUGACAUGUUUUAUAAGUGCAUCUCUACUCAGUACUCACCCAACAACUGAAAUCCAUAACUUUGCAGAAACCGAUGGAGAGUAAAGAACACUGCAUGUAGUGUCUUCAGGUUGCUCCAGUUUUGCAAUUGCUCGCAACUGUCAGGUCUUGUUGUAUUUGUGAUGCAUAUGAAGAUACUUGGGAGCAUGCUCUACUUUAUUCUACAAUGUCUAAGUGCACCUGGGCUCUUUGGAUGAAGAUCUCAUGGAGAUGCUUGCAAGCCUGUGAAUCACUGAUCCAAGACAUUGGGGUUUCCAUAUAUGUAACAGCAUGUCAUAAGGUACUUAAUCACUUCACGGGUGGUAUUGUUGGCGCGUCGCAAGGUAUGAGAGCGUUUUGACAUGGACUGAUGCUACUGUCGGGCUUGUUAACUGUAUGCUGCUAGCCUGGAGUUCAUCUAUGAAGAGCAAUUUGCUUCUGGUGAUGGCGGAGCUCUAAAACACAGGAUUAGGGGAUGGAUCUUGCUGGGUCCAGGGGAGGUGAUACUGAACGCUGACACUGCUCUUCUCUGAGGCGAUUCCAUGGCAGCAGACACAGCUGUCUGCUGCGACCAAAAGAGCCUGGUAUAAUGGAAACUCUGGUGAGCGGCGAUGUUUUGAUUUUAUUAGGGUGGCUUCAGAUUGCUAAUUCCAUCACCAACUUUGUAGGAGACGAACAGGUGGUCUGACAUGAUGUUGAUCCAAGACAUGAAGAACCGUGCACAGGUUGGACAUGGUAGGUAGAGAUACAGAGGUAGCAGCUCCAGCUUAGCAUUGCUCGCUUUUACUCUGGGUGUUGAUGACCAUAUAUGGAAGGUAAUAAGCUGAGCUUUAAUGCUAGAUGAUGUAACUUUUUAGUAAGUAUUAAAAAUGGAAAAUAUAUAUAGGCACCGAAUUGCUCCAUGCCCAUGGAGGGUUUAGCCGCCGCCACACAUCAUCCAGCAUCAGUCGGAAAUGAGGAUGCAGAUCUGGGGGGCAGGUCGCAUGAGCAAGCGAAACCAUCGUAACCUUGCUGGUUCCUUGCGAUGUUGUGGCAGAGAUCAUCCUUUGCUUAAACGCGGCCACGAUGGGGAAUGGUCAGUCAAAAUUCCCUAUCCUCUAUCCUAGUUUCUCCUGUUUUUCUAUUUCUGAUGAUUAUCCUUGUGCCGUCAGGCGAGAUUGGCCGAACCUGCCGACGAUGCUCCUUGACGAUAUCGCCGGUCGGCUUCUGCUUUACGACGUGGCCGAGUACAUCCGCCUCCGUGCUGCGUGCAAGGAGUGGAGGAACUGCACCGAUGAUCCGCGCGCGGGAGGCGGCCUGGACUGCCGCUUCCGCCCCCGCCGCUGGAUCAUGCUGUCCAACCGCACCGAGGGCGACGGCCGUUGCUUUCUCAACCUCUCCACCGGUGCCAGCGCAUGUAUAGAUCUCCCGGAGCUCUCCCGCCACCACCUUGAGACCAGCACCGAGGGCCUCCUGCUCUUGCGCGGCAAGGCGAGCCAUGCUGUGCGCCUCUUCAACCCACUCACCAGGGCCUUCACCAACCUCCCGUCCAUCACCCCAGACCAUGGCAGGGCGUACAUUGUCUGGACGGGGCUGUUGGAGUCCUCAGAGCGCCUCAUCUACGCCGGCAUCUCUGAAGAGACCUCCCCAGCGUCGGUCGUGCUCCUGAUGAUUGACCGUGGGCGUGCCAUAGUCUACGCCAAGCCUGGCGACCAGCGGUGGGCUGUGGUUGAGCAUGACGAGAUUGGGAGACCCAAUAGCUACGCAUCAUAUCGGUUAUCGUCGGCAUCAACCCUGCAGGGGCGCUUCUACUUUGCAACUCUUGAGGGGAAUGUAAUGCAUGUGAGGCUCUGUCCUGAGCCUCGGUUGGUGCCCGUGGUCGUGAACCAGCCCAAAACCAGGGGCGACGUGUCCUCCUACCUUGUCCCUCCCGACGACCACCGCUGCGGCGACAUGCUCAUGGUGCGCUACUACCUCGACCUUGAUCACCUCAGCGCUGACGAGCGGAAAAUCAUGACACACAGGAGGAAGCGCAUGGAUGUGAUCAGGGUGGAGAACAGGUUGAAGGAGUGCCGGUGGAACCUGAUCCAGGUGUUCAAGGUGGAUGUGGCCUGAAAGAGGCUCGUCCCGGUGGAGGACAUUGGCCGCCACCGCGCGGUGUUUGUUGGGGAGGCGGCAUGCUUCUCCCUCUCUGCCAGGACGUUUCCAUGCGUGGCUGGGAACGCGGUGCACCUGGGGGCGACUGGUGCCCGCUACCCUCCCGUCGGCGUGCGGUAUCUGGCGGACAAGAGUGCGGAUCCACCCUUUGAAUUCACCACUGACGGGCCAGCUUCUCCAGAUGAACCACUGAAAUGGUACCACCGACAUAACAGACCAGAGCUGAAUCUUUUUCUUGACACUGGACCAGAGCUGAAUCUAGUGCCUCUUGCUCGCCCCUGUACCCUGCAAGAGUACCUCGUCUGUUGCGCAGGCCUCCCUGGCGGCCUCAAGGACUAAUCAAAUCCUGAGCAAGUUAGGUAUGUCGUCUGUUCGUUCUUGGAUUCUGUGUUGUUGAGAAGUUUAAACAUCAAUGCUAUAGCUCCUCGGUUCAUUUCUCCUUUGUGUUGCCCCUAAAAAUUGUGAAAGGGGCAAUGAAGUCUAGAAUUAUGCAAUAGCAGUUGUUACCUCUAAAGUUCAAGCUGAUGUAUUCUUCAAAUACUUGCCUCGGUUAAUUUCUCACUUGUGUUGCUCCAGGAAAUUCUGAAAGAUGAGAAUACAAUCCAGUGUAGGAUUAUGCAAGACCGCUUGUUUUUUGCCCUCCAAAUUUUAAAUGAUGUGUUAUUUGAAAUACUACAUGGUUCUGAGGAUAUAUAGAAAUUGCAUAAGAACCUAUGGUGCUAUAAUCCAUACAGCAGGAACCAAAACCUACAUGCCCAUCUUUGUCUGUAGGAACCUAUGGUGCAAUGACUAAAGAGCUAUAUGCAUGCAAUCUUUUUAGCUCGUAAGGGGCAACUGCUGAGUGAAGCAUGAACAUGUAGGAACAUACAAAACGUAAGAAACCUGACACCAAUACACAGGAACAGAAAUGGAUAAAAAUCAAGCAGGAAUUUUACAACCACAAAACCAUGCAGAUCUUCCGACCAUCAGUCUAAGGAGAAGUCUGAUACGAUCACUAAUAGAUGGAAAGAAACAACACCCCACAAAGAAGAAACAGCCCAGGAGAAAAGGAGUGCGAUCGCCAAACCUAAGAUAGCAUGUAAAAACACAUGUUAAAUCACAUAGAUCUGAUGGAAGUGCAAAGGAUCUGAUGGAAGUGAUAGUGAUAAUGUGGAUUCUGAUGAAGAUUUCUGUGACAGUCAGUGACAAUGAAAUAUACAGAAGGUGAUGAUGAUAUAUAUAUGCUACCAAUGCAGAUGAGGAUGUUGAAGAUGUUCUACUUCCUAGCAAGGGCAAGAAAGUGGUAGAGGAGGAUGCAAAGAACCCUAUAGAAGAUCAACUUGAUCUACCAUCUUCAGAUGAAGAGAAAGAGAAAGAAGUGAAGUUCAGAUUCAAAUCUUUCCCGGAGGCUGACAUGGCUGCACCUCAUUUCAAAUCGGACAUGAUAUUUUCCACGUUUAAGCAAGACCUUUGGAUAGACAACACGGCUUACAAGGGGAGUGUUCUUUUUUUUUCUUUUGAGGGGUUACAAGGGGAGUGUUCUAAAGAAUUGUUUGUUGGCUUGUGCAAGGACCGGUUGCACACCACAAAGAGAAAUAUACUUUUUUUAUCAAAGAGAGAAAUAGAGAAAUAUACUUGAUGGCUCAGUACAAAGGGCGAAGGCAGUAGCUAGGCUAUAUUUACAUCACCGAUUCACAUGCUCCGCUCAGUAGCACUGCGAGAUUCACCGCCCACCGCCACAUAUUGCAACGAUCAUGAUAUGAUAUGAUUUUCAACCAUCUUUUUCUUCAUUUAGUUUUAUGUCACACCAUCAAAAUUUACAUGCAUGAUACUUGUUAUGAUACUCCCACCACAGGAGUUAGGGGCGGAGCUUUGUCAUCAACACCCUGGACCACCUCUGUUGGGAGGUUUACGUACGAUGAGAAAACUUCAUGUGCGGUUUCAGAGCUUGACACACCUCCCUCACUUGCACGGUUGGUGACCUUUCACUAAUGAGCUACGUGUCGAUCCAUGUGACCACCAAAAAAAUCUUCCGAUCAGUUUUCUGUUUACGUUCACAAAAUUUAUGAGUUUACGUCUUGUUUUUUUUAAGAGAAGGUUAAAACCCCCGGUCUCUGCAUCAAUCAAUGCAUACGACAAUCUUUAUUUAUUAUCCAACAAAGGUCUAACAAAAACAUACAUUAAGCCACCCGAAGCCACCACUCGCACCUACAAAACUCGAUAAUUUGGAGUGGUUUCACUCCCAAUAUCUAAAACUGAUGAUGUCGCCAAUCCAUCUACACAACGUAUCGGAACGAAUAGCCGGUGCAGCAUACCUAAAGCGUACACCACAUGCACACGUUUUAGAAGCCGCCAUCAUCAUCGGACCGCUGACCAUCUUCAGGAGAGAGAUCCGCAUCAUCCUUGCCAGUCCGUCCAUAUGUCGACGGCACCACGACGCCCAACGGUGCCACCACCAUGCGCUUGUCCAUCCAGACACGAAAGAUUCUGGAGGAUCUGUCGUGCGUAGCACCUGCCAACCAAGCAUGACACAACGUAGCACCUGCCGGACUGGCAUGACUUGACAUCUCCACCGAAGCUCCGUGCAAGACGAAGUCGCUCCACCUCCUGCCUCUGUCUUCCGGCGCCGCUCCACAAACGAUGCUCCCAAGAAAGAAACGACACCGCAGUACCGCCAUCGUCUGAUCUAGAAGACCAGAUCCUAGGGUUUCCCCCGGAGCAGCACGAGUGGGUCGGCAGAAGUUACACGAUGAUGCCUUCAUCAAGGUAACUGUAGGAACGAAGUAUGCCUACCAGAGGGGUGAAUGGGAGUUUUAAAAUUUCUUCGGAAAUAUUAAAACUCUCAGAACCCAGCAGCCGAACGAAUGAAAAUAGUGUACAGCGAGCGAAUAUAAACUAACGAAUGGAAACUAAAAGCAUGCAUCGAGACAAAACACAUGAUUGAAACAGUUCGAAUGUAAAGAGGAGUACCAGAGGUAACCAGUGAUACUCGAUGGCGACAAGGAAUUUGGUAUACCAGUUCGCCCUUCUGCACAAGGACUACGUCUGGUUGAAGGGAUUGUGAUUUAACAUAGAAGAUAAACUCUCUUCGCCCUAUUCUCCUCGACAAUUGGUUCGUCAACCAAUGUCGAUCACUCGUGGUAGAUACUUGAGGUGAUCUCCGAACCUUUACAGACUUCUUCUUUGAUAACCACAAUUACUUUUGGUCUCUGAAGAAAUUGACACCGAACCGCCUAGAGAGUUUGCAGCUCUCAAGAGUAGUAGGCGGAGCGUACUGGACUUAGAUUCGAGUGAUGCUGGAACACUAUCUAAUUUUUUGGCUCUAGGGUUUUUCUCUCGGUGGAUUUUAAACUCAAAUCACUCGGGAGAGGGGUUACUCAACAAUCUUCUCACAAUCAAACGGAGCAGCCGCCGCAAUCGAUGUGGGGUGGCUAUUUAUAGCCGCAGCCUUCCCUGAUGGGAAAUGACCAUUUUGGACACGCGGUCCAGCCAAUGGCCAACCGACACGUUCACAACGGUCGGAUUUCAAGAGCAACGGUAACAUUACUUGAGGACCAAGUAAUGCUAACUCCUCGGUCAGAGACAAAUCUCUCGCAGCGAAGAAGAUCACAGUCUCUUGCUGGCAAGUAUUUACUCAGAACACAAAGAGAUUUCUCACGCAACUUUUAUAGGAUUUGGGUUUAGCAUCAGAGAAUCGAAGUUUUGAACGCUACACCCCUCCUAGUAGUACGAUGGUCCUAUGACUCAAUAAAGAGAAGAGAAACAACAAAAUAAAUGCUACGUCUUCACUUUGUCUUCAACCUUCUUGGUCGCAGUCACUUCCUUCGGACGAGCACAGAACCAAUUGCUUCGCGUCAGCAAUUUUUGAGGGGUCACUCUUGUUAUCAUAAUCUUCGGUGAUAACCCUCACUUCUACACAGGGGAUUGUCUUCCAUUUGAAUCAAACUCCUGUUGACUCCAGGGACCUAUUACUCUAUGUGCACUAGCAAACACAUAAGUCUCAUAUUGUUUAUGUCAACAAACUCCAAAAUAUAGGGAGGAAAAUUAUUGCACCAACAGUAACGACGCAGAACGCCGACAUCGCCUACCAUCGGCUUGGUUUUCACCGGCAACCCUGUCUUCUCGACUCGUGGCCGGGAUUAGAUGACAGAUCUCGAGAUCUGACCAUCCAGCCUCAGGCCGACCACCUCCUUCGUAGGAGAUGGCUGAGGGAGUCCUGGAUUAGGGGGUCCUUGGACAGCCGGACUAUGUACUUGUGCCGGACUGUUGGACCAUGAAGAUACAAGAUUGAAGACUUAGUCCCGUGUCCGGGUGGGACUCUCCUUGGCGUGGAAGGCAAGCUUAGCUAUACGGAUAUGUAGAUCUCCUUCUCUGUAACCGACUUUGUGUAACCCUAGCUCCCUCCGGUGUCUAUAUAAACCGGAGGGUUUAGUCCAUAGGACAACAACAAUCAUAAUCAUAGGCUGGCUUCUAGGGUUUAACCUCUACGAUCUCGUGGUAGAUCAACUCUUGUAAUACUCAUAUCAUCAAUAUCAAUCAAGCAGGAAGUAGGGUAUUACCUCCAUAGAGAGAGCCCGAACCUGGGUAAACAUUGUGUCCCCCGCCUCCUGUUACCAUUAGCCUUAGACGCACAGUUCGGGACCCCCUACCCGAGAUCCGCCGGUUUUGACACCGACAUUGGUGCUUUCAUUGAGAGUUCCACUCUGUCGUCACGGUAAGGCUUGAUGGCGCCUUCAAUCAUCCACAACGAUGCAAUCCAGGGUGAGGACUUCCUCCCCGGACAGAUCUUCGUAUUCGGUAGCUUCGCACUGCGGGCCAACUCGCUUGGCCAUCUGGAGCAGAUCGAUAGCUAUGCCACUGGUCAUCAGGUCAGGUUUGGAAGUCUGAACUACACCGCCGACAUCCGCGGAGACUUGAUCUUCGACGGAUUCGAGCCCAUGACAGGUGCGCCGAACAGUCACGAUGAGCAUGACUUAGAUCUGCCAUCGGACGGUGUUCGGGAGAGCACACCUGCGGCUGCCCCGGCUCUUAAUCCGGAGCAGAUCGUGCCAUCCGAGGAUGGGUGGAUGGACCCCGCCACGAAGGCCGCACACUCAACAGUGAUAGAGCCGAACACAGACUUCGCCUUCAAUGAGGUCUGCGUCAUCGGACCCCCGGACUCGUCUCCGGCCGCAGGCUCCGAGCCGCGUACAUCCGUGCCCAUCGAACCUGAUUGGGCACCGAUCAUGGAGUUUACCUCCAUGGAUAUCUUUUAGCACUCGCCCUUGGGCGACGUGCUAAAUUCAUUAAAAUCCCUCUCCCUAUCAGGAGACUCUUGGCCGAACUAUGUCCGGCUUGAGUGGGAAGCGGACGACGAAGAAAUUCGUCUCCCACCCCCCACCCACUUGAUAGCCACUAUCAAUGACUUAACCGACAUGCUUGAUUUCGACUCCGAAGACAUCGACGGUAUGGACGACGAUGCCGAAGAAGAACAGGAACCACCGCCCAUAGGGCAUUGGAAAGCCACCUCAUUAUAUGAUAUAUACAUGAUGGACACUCACAAAGAAAACAACGGCAAGGAUGCAACGGAGGAUAACCCUCUUAAGAAGCAACCAAAGUGCCGACGUCGGCGCCGCUCUAAAUCCCGCCACAGCAAAAACAGCGAUAACGGCACAAGAAAGAAUAAUACCCCGGUCGACUCCAAAGGUAACGACGACCCCAUGGACCCAGCAAUGGAGCAGGAUGAGCCAGGGGACAUCAAACACAGUCUGGGGCCGCUGUCCGAUCACAGCGAUGCCGAAAAUAAAGCUUAUAAACCUGUCUCCGGAGAGGAGAACAGUCCGGACGACGAUGCACUCAUCAUUCCGGAAAAGCACUUGGAACAAGAAGACAUCCACAAAGGCUUAUUGCCACCGCGAGGAGCUUGAAGAAGCAGAAGCAAAGGCUUAGGGCCGCGCAGGAUACACUCAAUCGCAGAUGGAACAAAGUGCUCGACACUAACGAAAAACACGGUGGCGAUCGCCACACAAAGAGCUACCCAAAGCACAACCUACUACCCGAAUUCGACGACGAGGCCAUAGAGCCCAUCCCGCCGAGAAACAAUACGGCCGAUCCGCCGGACCGACCACCGCAUGGCCACGACAAGGCGGCUAAUGACGCCGCACACAAGUCAGCACAUGAUUUACGUGAGCACCUGGACAAAAAAGCCAGUAUGGCUAGGUCCAUUUAUGGAUCUAGGAAGCGCGCUUCGGCUCAGGAUCACGGCCACCAAAAUGACUAUAUUGAUCGAAUACCAGCUCGGAAUCAACACCGAACACAAAAUCUGUCGGAAACAUGCCACGACACAUCAAGAUACAGGGGUGCCACGCACCCCCUGUGCUUCACCGAUGAGGUACUGGAUCAUGAAUUUCCAAAGGGGUUUAAACCCGUGAACAUCGAGGCAUACGACGGAACAACAUACCCUGCAGUCUGGAUUGAGGACUUCAUUCUUCAUAUCCACAUGGCUCGUGGAGACGAUCUCCAUGCCAUCAAAUACCUAUCCCUCAAGUUGAAAGGACCAGCUCGGCACUGGUUGAAAAGUCUCCCCGAAAACUCAAUUGGAAGUUGGGAGGAGCUUGAGGACGCUUUCAGGGCCAAUUUUCAAGGGACAUAUGUCCGACCUCCAGACGCAGACAAUUUAAGUCAGCCCGGAGAGUCAGCCCGUAAGAUUUGGAACAGGUUUCUCACUAAGAAGAACCAAAUCAUCGACUGCCCGGAUGCUGAAGCCUUAGCGGCUUUCAAACAUAGUGUCCGGGGCGAAUGGCUCGCCAGACAUCUCGGCCAGGAAAAACCGAGGACAAUGGCAGCCCUCACAAGCCUUAUGACCGGCUUUUGCACGGGCGAGGACAGUUGGUUGGCCCGCAGUGGUACCAGCGACCCAGGCACAUCUGAAGCCAGGGACGGCAAUGGUAAGCCGUGACGCAAUAAAACAAGCGUCAAAACAAUGAAGACAACCCAGACAACACGGUGGUAAACGCCGGAUUCAGGGGCUCUCGACCCGGUCAACGGAAAAAGCCAUUUAAAGGCAGCAAAGAUGGACCGUCUAGCCUAAACAAAAUUCUAGACAGAUUAUGUCAGAUUCGUGGCACCCCCGAGAAAACGGCAAAUCACACCAACACAGAAUGUUGGGUCUUCAAGCAGGCCGGCAAGCUAAAUGCCGAAAACAAGGGGAGAGAGCAGCCAAGUGAAGACGAGGAUGAACCGCGCUAGCCGAACACUGGGGGACAGAAAAAAAUUCCACCAGAGGUCAAAACAGUGAACAUGAUUUACGCAACUCACACACCAAAGGGGAGGCGCAAACGCGCACUCCGAGACGUAUACGCUGUAGAGCCCGUCGCCCCCAAAUUCAACCCAUGGUCGGCCUGUCCGAUCACUUUUGAUCGCAGGGAUCAUCCGACUAGUAUCCGGCAUGGAGGUUCGGCCGCCUUAGUGCUCGACUCAAUAAUCGACGGAUACCAUCUCACCCGAGUCCUUAUGGACGGCGGCAGUAGUCUUAACCUGAUAUAUCAGGACACUGUCCGCAAAAUGGGGAUAGACCCGUCAAGAAUCAGCCAAAGCAGUACUACCGUUAAAGGAGUAAUACCAGGCAUAGAGGCUCGAUGUACGGGCUCUCUAACAUUAGAGGUUGUAUUCGGUUCACCGACAACUUCCAAAGUGAAGAACUAAUCUUCGACAUCGCCCCACUCCGAAGCGGCUACCAUGCACUACUUGGAAGAACGGCCUUCACUCGUUUGAAUGCAGUUCCGCAUUAUGCUUAUCUUAAACUUAAGAUGCCCGGUCUACGUGGCGUCAUCACAAUUAGAGGAAAUUCAGAGCAUUCCUUGUGUGCGGAAUAAUAUGUGACGGCUCUAGCAGCCGAACCACUAAACGACCUCCCCAACCCGAAUAAAUGAUCGUUCGUCAAGACCACGGAUGCGGCUAGACGUGUCCGGCGCACCACUAGUUUUAUCAGCCCAGAUAAACCUGAGCUUGGUGGACGGAUAUGCCCUCAUAUGUGGUGCUAGGGGCUGCCCGCAUGCAAAAGGGUCCAUAGUUCGGCUCGACCCUAUUAAUACAAUAAUAGAUUUAAUUCUCAUGGUUCAUUAAGAAUAACCAAGUUUUCGCACGAUCACACCAGAUUCUUUCACCCGGGCUUUUCUUUUUUACAGAUGAUCAACGUGCUACACCCUUCCAGGAUACGGCACAGCAGAGGCAAAGGCGCAGACGUGCAAUAGGGCCCUGUUCAAAGGUUUCUUUUUAGAUUAAGACCAUGUGUAAACCUUUUUUAUUGUCUCUUGUUGCUUCACUCCCUCCGGGUACUUAAAAUAACCGAGAGGGAUACUGGCGUUAUUGGCAUUUCUGUCACGCCAGAUUAAUGCACGUACCUGGAUAUUCAGGGCUCAUUAUCGAGGGCGGUACUCAGCCCAGUAUAUGUUAUAAAGUCUGAAUACCUUCGGGAGUAUUCGGUGUUGCGAGUUUGGCCUUAUAUGCAUCAGCUCCAAAUCAUGUCUUUGGUCAAUAGUUGGGUUUGCCCGGCUCCCGUGUUUUGCUACCUUAUGUUCCGCUCUAUCGGCUAAGGUGGCACCGGGAGAACUACUAUGAUUGUGCCCUGGUUCAUCUGGAUGAGCACCUCAGUAGAGAAAGCCGAAAACUGAUUGUCAUGAUAAAGCGAGAGACUGGUCAACCACUCGAUGACUCAGCGGAACCUUUGCGAUUCCUCCUCAUUAACGAAGGACCGGUUUUCCGGUCACGUAUGUACGCGCACCGUAUUUAUAUGAACGCGAAUGUACCAGGGGCUAUAUAGUAGCCCUACCUUCAAACUCCUAUGACUAAGUGAAAGUGUUAAAGCUAUAUAGUCCUAUUGCCUUGUUCGCCGCACUAUCACCUCCUUAACGGACCAAGACGUUGGAUCAAGUGUGUUUACGCGGUUUACCGAACACCCCUGUAGUAUAUGCGUGGGGGCUGAAGCCGACGACUGCAAACUUUCAGGUUAUAUACAUAUAUUCAUAAACGGCCGCACAGGAGGCACUAUAAUACUUUAUGGGAAAAAGUAUAAAUACAGCCUUUAUAAUCAAAAUAGCAUUUUUUUACAAUCAAGAUACAUGUCACUGGAAUAUGGUACUCUUUGAGCACUGAGCCUCUAUUAAAUGGGCACCUUCUAGGACUUCUUCAAAAUAGUGCUCGGGCGAGUCCUGACCCCCUGGCGGACCCCUGGUUGCAACAACGGUGGCCUCCAUCUCUGCCCAAUAUGUCUUGACACGGGCAAGAGCCAUCCGCGCACCCUCUAUGCACACCGACCUCUUGGCAGCAUCGAUAUGCGGCACAGAACGAAGAAAUCAUUGCAAUAAACCAAAAUAACUAUCCGAACUUGGUUCCUUCGGCCAAAGAUGAUCCACGACAAACUUCAUGGCAAGCCCGGACAACCUAUGGAGCUCGGCCCACUUGGCUAUUUGCUCAUUCAACAGCAGCGGAUGCCUUGGAUUACUGAACCGCGACCAGAACAACCUUUCCACAUCAUGAUCUUUCUGAUCUUUAAAAUACUCAGUCGCGUCAGUAGCACUCUUUGCUAAAUCCAAGUAUGUGUCUGCCGAACUCCACAAUUGAUCAAGAGGGUAAUACUUCGUCCGCAAUAAGAAGGGCUUCCCAGCCGCGAUAUCUCGGGCUUGACGAAGCUCCUCCCGCGUCGCUCUGAUUUCAGAGCGCGUUUCCUUGGCUGCUUCUAAGGCCUUCUUUAAGUCAGCCGCUUUCGCUUGGCUUUCCCUUACGAGGAGCUCAUAGCGGCUGGCGGCGUUUUGCAGCUCAAGAGCCAUGUUGGCUAUUUUCUCUUCGCUCUGGCGAUGAGCAGCCUGUUCGGCUUUUAACUCUUCGACUGCCUUCAGGGCGGAUGCAUCACUUCUCCUGGCUUGUUCCUUGGCUCGAGCAAGUUCUGCCCGAAGGGUCUCCACGGCGGCAGCUCCAUCUGCAGUCAAAGCAUAUUAUAAAAACUAGCAUCAUGCUCCUCUUAACAUUUGCUGACUGAUACGUCUCCAACGUAUCUAUAAUUUUUUAUUGUUCCAUGCUAUUAUAUUACCCCUUUUGGAUGUUUAUGGGCUUUAUUUUACAUAUUUAUAUCAUUUUUGGGACUAACCUACUAACCGGAGGCCCAACCCAUAUUGCUGUUUUUUUGCCUAUUUCAGUAUUUCGAAGAAAAGGAAUAUCAAACGGAGUCGAAACGGAAUGAAACCUUCGGGAGCGUGAUUUUUGGAACAAAUCUGAUUCGGAGAGCUUGGAGUGCAAGUCAAGAAGCUCCCGAGGGCCCCACGAGAUAUGGGGCCGCGCCCCCUCCCCCCACUAUAGGGCGCGCCCCCUGUCUCGUGGGCCCCUCGGGCGUCCACUGACGUACUUCUUCCUCCUAUAUAUAUCUAUGGACCCCGAAAACAUCCAGGAGCACCACGAAACAUAAUUUCCACCGCCGUAACCUUCUGUAUCCGCGAGAUCUCAUCUUGGAGCCUUCGCCGGCACUCUGCCGGAGGGGGAAUCGACCAUGGAGGGCUUCUACAUCAACAUCCUUGCCCCUCCGAUGAGUUGUGGGUAGUUUACCACAGACCUACGGGUCCAUAGUUAUUAGCUAGAUGGGUUCUUCUCUUUUUUUGGAUCUCAAUACAAUGUUCUCUGUGGGGACCGGUUUUCCAGGUAUUAAUUUCCAGAAAAAUGGCCCUUGUGCUCACCAGCCCCAGGAUUACUGUUAGCUGAUGAGGCACCAACUUGAUACAAAAAUUCCAAGCAAAAAUGCAAAAAUAUGUAGUACAAGACCAUUCUGGCCUGUGAGUACAACAAAUGGUUUCUAAUGGUUGAUGGCGGAAGCGGUUUGUGGAUCAUCAGUGUCUAUGGGACUCCAAUUUCCCAUAGGAACAGCUGACCAGGUUAACUCCUAUCUUCGCGAGACUGAUAUCACCGUUGCUUAGGUUCCGGGGCUGUCAAUACGGUCACUCCUCUCCGCGCAAGAAAUCUGGCCAAGACAAUAGCCAGGGACAAGCCAGUGAGUACUUUGAAUAUACUCGCGAACAUUAUGAACACAGGUAUAAUAUAACAAUGAUGUGCUGAAAAUAUUUUAUGCUCAUGACGUCAGUCACAAAAGAUAGUAAAAAAAACUCUGAUGCAUGUGAGCAUGUUUUUUUAUGAGUAUGCAAUAACAUAGUAGUAUUAAAAUUAUGAAAUAAAUAACAAGCAUGUCACAGUCGGGCGUCUUAGCGACACCACAUAAAGGGCUUUAAAAUAAAUGCCACAGUCGGGCGUCUUAGCGACACCACAUACAGGGCUUUAAAAUAAAUGCCACAAUCGAGCGUCUUAGCGACACCACAUAAAGAGCUUUAAAAUAAAUGCCAUAGUCCAGCCCUUUGUUGACCCAUGAUGCCAGUUGGGGGCGGAGGGUCCGGGCGGAAGGCUGGGGCGGCUGCCCACUUUGUACCUCUGGAAGCUGUGAUGUAAAACCACUCCUGUUGCCAUAGGUCGGACACCUCCGGGAAGGAACCCUUUGGCCAUAGGGCGUCGCACCCUUGCUUAUUAUAGCACCUCCGCACUCCGCAUGUCGCCCGUUGAUCAUCUUUGGCUUCACAUUAAAGGUCUUGAGCCAUAAGCCGAAGUGUGGGGUAAUGCGGAGGAAGGCCUCACACACGACGAUAAACGACGAGAUGUGAAGGAUGGAAUCUGGAGCUAGAUCAUGGAAAUCUAGCCCGUAAUAGAACAUGAGCCCUCUUACAAAGGGAUCAAGACUAAAGCCUAGCCCUCGGAGGAAGUGGGAAACGAAUACAAUACUCUCGUUGGGAUCGGGAGUGGGGAUAACCUGCCCUUGAGCAGGUAGCCUAUGGGGAAUUUCAGCGGUCAGAUACCUAGCCUCCCUAAGCUUCUUGAUGUCCUCCUCUGUGACGGAAGAGGCCAUCCACCGGCCUUGAAGGUUGGAUCCGGACAUGGUUGAAGGUCCGAAGCACUUAGCCUGAACCUUGGGUGUUGGAACUCGAGGUAGGGGAAGGGAAGGAUUGGGCGUGGAAAGAAAAGGACAGGUCUGGACCUCUUUAUAAAGAGGGUGAAUAUCAAGCGUCCUCCGUGUGGCCGUUUUGGAACUUGCCUAAAACAGAGGAGUCAUACUAACAGCACGAUUGGGUUACCCACACCCGUAUUGAUGAGAAUCCCAUAAUAAGGGGACACGAUCUCUGCUUCGACAAGACGUGCUAAUAAAACCGCCUUGCAAUAUGCGCAGCAAUAGGUUGAUAAAAUGGUUCGAAUAAUGACCGGGCCGUGGCAUGAUGUCACGCUAUGAAAAGUUGUCAGCAGAUUAGAUUUGUGGAAUAUUGUGCUCUCUAUGAUGGUACGUGGAAAUUGUUUUGCAGAGCCGGACACGAUCCUUGUAUUUGAGAUCUUCUAUGGAGAAUUCGGAGAAGGAACCCGUCUUGCAAUGCCGAAGACAAUCUGUGCGUCGGACUCAUCGUCAUUGAAGCCUAGUUUAGGGGCUACUGAGGGAGUCCUGGAUUAGGGGGUCCUCGGACAGCCGGACUAUGUACUUGUGCCGGACUGUUGGACCAUGAAGAUACAAGAUUGAAGACUUCGUCCCGUGUCCGGGUGGGACUCUCCUUGGCGUGGAAGGCAAGCUUGGCUAUACGGAUAUGUAGAUCUCCCUCUUCGUAACUGACUCUGUGUAACCCUAGCUCCCUCCGGUGUCUAUAUAAACUGGAGGGUUUAGUCUGUAGGACAACAACAAUCAUAAUCAUAGGCUAGCUGCUAGGGUUUAGCCUCUACGAUCUCGUGGUAGAUCAACUCUUAUAAUACUCAUAUCAUCAAGAUCAAUCAAGCAGGAAGUAGGGUAUUACCUCCAUAGAGAGGGCCCGAACCUGGGUAAACAUUGUGUCCCCCGCCUCCUGUUACCAUUAGCCUUAGACGUAUAGUUCGGGACCCCCUACCCGAGAUCCGCCAGUUUUGACACCGACAAUGGCCACCACCGCUGCUGCACUGGCCAGAUCAGAUCUGACCAGAGGCGCCGCCGAACAGUCCACCAGGCCCUUCAUGCCGUCGCCGCCGAUUGGACGCCCAAUGGUGCGCCACCGCCGACCGUAGCCAGCACUUUCCCGGUACAGUGUCGCGCCGCGCGUGCAGCUGCCGCCGUCCGAGGCAGGGCCGACCACCACGCCACCGCCUGCCGCAGCCAUCGCCCUCAUGCCGCAUAGAUUGGAUCGGUCGCGCCACCACGCGUUUAGGGGCCCCGCACCACCCCUAAGACAUGGGAGAGAGGGAGUCCCCUGCCACCUCCAUUGGCCUCCGGGCUAGCCCGGUGAGGUCCUCCGACGGCGGCGGAGGAAGGGGAAGAGGAAGAUCGCGCCCCGACGGCUAGGGUUUGGGCGCCGCCCGAGUCGCCCUAGCGGAGACGAUGCAGGGCCUACCAGAUUGUGUGUGAUGUGGCUACUUUUUUAUUCUUCUCUGUCUCUCUUCUGUAUGCUUUCGAGGACCCGAUCCUCUCCUGAUUGUUGUGUGUUUUAUUGAAAGAGUUGUUCCAAUCUCUUCGAAACUUGGGUAUGCUUUUGCAUUUCCUCACGGCUUUCUACAACUUUCACUUUAGCUUCCAAAGGCGACCCAAUGACCUUUCCAACGAGGAAAUAUAACAAGCUUCCCAGUGAUGGAGCUAGGGGGCCAAUGCCCCCAUCCCUGCCACCAGGUUUGAGAAAAUUCUAUACAUACCCAUGAAAUUUCAAUGUAAAAUGGUUUAAAAAUUAUAUUUAACUCCAUCCACUUUGUUGGUUCUUUACUCCAUCCAUGGAGGUUGCCUGGUGCCCUUAGAUAUCUACAUCGCAGUGGUCCUUAACCACGGUCUACGGCCUGAUGGACGAGGCACUCAAGCCCCUCUUCCUUGAUGAGCUAUGCUUUGUCCGUGUCGUGUGCACCGGCCCGUGGUCGGUUGCCGGGGAUUUCAACUUGAUCAUGGACGCAGCGGAUAAGAACAAUGCCUUGAUCAAUAGGUGGAUGAUGGGGCACUUUGAAAGUGCUAGUUAUCGUAGAGGGGGGGGGUGAAUAGGCGAUUUUUACGGAAGUUUUGAAACAGGCAAUGGCUUCAAAGACGUGCAAACAAAACAGUAACUAAACAUGAUGCAGCGAAAGAUAAACUACACUAGGCAUGCAAGGAUGUCUGACACAUCCAUUUUGCAUCAUGUUUUCCUACUGUUAUUUUUGUUGUUUUAUUGUAUAAUAAUGCUUUUUGGAGUAAUUCUAAUGCCUUUUCCCUCAUAAUAUGCAAGGUGUACACCAAGGGGGAGAAUUCCGGCAACUAGAAAUCUGGACCUGAAAAAGCUAUGUCAAGCUACCUAUUCUGCAACUCCAAAUGAGCUGAAACUUCCCGAGGAAUUUCUAUGGAAUAUUUAAUAAAUAUUGGAGCAAAUAAGUACCAUAGGAGGGCCACCAUGUGGGCCAACCCACUUAGGCGCGCCAGGAGGCCCAGGCUUGCCCUGGUGGGGGUUGCCCUCCUCGGCCCACCUCUGGUGCCCAUCUUCUUGUAUAUAAGUCAUUUUGACCUAGAAAAAAUUAGGAUAAGACAUUCGGGACGAAGCGCCGCCGCCUCGAGGCGGAACUUGGGCAGGAGCACUUUUACCCUCCGGUGGAGCGAUUCCACCGGGGGAACUUCCCUCCUGGAGGGGAAAAUCAUCGCCAUCAUCAUCACCAACAACUCUCCCAUCUUGGGGAUGGCUAUCUUCAUCAACAUCUUCACAACACCAACUCCUCUCAAACCCUAGUUCAUCUCUUGUGUUCAAUCUUUGUAUAAAAGCUAUAGGUUGGUGCUUGUGGGUGACUAGUAGUUUUGUUUACAUCUUGUAGUUGAUUACUAUAUGGUUUAUUUGGUGGAAGAUUAUAUGUUCAGAUCCAUUAUUUAGAUACAUUAAAACUGAGCACCUUUCCUACCCUCUCAGGUCAUCAACAUUCCUAGCCGUUGGAUCAUCACUUUGAAACAUUGUUGGUGAUCCGAUUAGCUCUUAAUCGCAUCCAACUCACACGCACAUAUUUCCUGACAAGCGCUAACCUUCUCGGGCCGCUGCUCCAGUGUUUUUUUGGCAUCUGAGAUUCAUUUGGGCCUACUGGGCCUAUACUAGGAACCGGUCGAACCCAAAAGUGGAGAACCCUAAAACAGCUCUCGACCAGUCUCUUUCGCUCGCAGCCUUGGGUGUAAGACCUUGGAGCGCCGCCGCGGGUUGGGAGUAGAGGCGAACAGUCCUGAAGUUCAAUCGCUAAGGAUGAUUGAUCGAGAAGUCAAUCGGCCAUUAAUGCCAAUCGAUGCUCCGGGCGAAUCAGUUUCAAUUGGAUUUCCUUCUUCUUAUUCUACCAGAGACCAGACCAAUAGAACCAUUGCUUCACAUGGAGGACCCGAGGACGAGAGCGAGAAGAAGGAGACGGCAUGUGGCGAGACGGAAACGUGUCUCCUUCACCACCAUCGUAGUUGCCAGUAGCCCCUCCAGCGAUCAGCCAUAUCUUUCUCACCCUCAACAAAGAGAUCGCAGCUGACGCCGUCAUGGCGUCCAGGUCAUGGAGCUCCUCAGAGACGAUGCGGGCAGUGGCAACGCGGUACUGAAGGUCACCCCAAUCUACUUCUUAGUUUGUAUUCUUCCCAUGGUAUUGGAGUAUACGGUCAACCUUAUUCGAGUCAUCUUGACAGGACGCCGAUGCAGGUAGCGGCGAAGCGGCAGUGGACUUUCGGUGAAGCAGAAGAGAUAAACUGAUCCGUUGGGAUCGAAGUAGUCAAGUAGCAAUCAAUUGUCAGUUUCCGGUAGCAUUCAUCGCGGCUGAGGGGCGCACUCGCAGGUGACAAUUAAAUGGAGUUGUGCGUUGCUUUUUUCUGUCCGCAUCUGCUUCAGUAUAUGUGCCACUUCGUCUCCUGUAGCUCUCCCCUACGCUUGGUAAAUGCAUUUUCUCCUUCCCAGUUAUGAUCCCUCUUUCACCCAACCAUUACAUUGUGUUAUUAUCUUCUCAAUCCCAAUUUUGUACGUGCGGUUCUCAUCCAGGUUAUGGACAAUCUGGGGUAAAUCUUCGACACUCGUUCUGAAAUUUAGAUCAGAGAAUUCUUUCACUCAAUCUUCAAUGUCUGAUGGUCAGGUAAGUACUAUACUUCACGUGGACAGCCAUACCUCACCUUUUCAUGAUUUUGCAUUCUUGUAGAUGUAUUCUUGCUUAGAUUAUGUUUAUAUAUCAUUCAUGGCUGGAUGCCAUGGUACUCUUUGUUGAUAUAUGCGAAAGGUUACAUCAGUAGUGGAGUAUCCGUUGAAGGAGGGGCUUUUUUGGGAUGCGUCUGUGGUGAUGGCACAAGGACUAGAGGCAGCGGGGUCCGUCUGCAAUCUCUUGGCGUGCAUGGGGCGCCUCUUCUCUGCCGCGUUCAUAUCACAGUGCAGGCGUCUAUUAGGUAAUUUUUUCUGCAGAAUCAAGAGCUAAUUAAAUUAGAUUGGAUCAAGGAUUUAUUAGUUACUUGUAUGAGCUGGUCCAUUACAGGCAUAAUCAGUAUAAUUUAUCAACUGUCAAGAGAUUUCUUGGAGUAUAAUAAGCUUUUUUAAUGCAUGAAUUAUGUGAUACAUGUGACCAUAGUCACUUAACUGAAGAAAAUAAUCAUUCGUUGUUGCUUAAUGGAUAGAAAGCAGCGCCGACCUAAGAAAAUUGUUAGCCACUUAUGGGGUGUUAAUGCUAAAUCCAAAGGUACAAAUUUCUUUUAUCUAUGGGCUCUCAGCUGCCAUUAUUUUGUGCCUUUUCUACCUCUUUUUUAUGCAAAUAGUGUUGUAGAAAAGCUACUAUGUGAUUUUCAAUCCUGGUCAUCCCAACUGCUAGCUUGGACCGUAGUUGAGCUUAAGAUCCUUAAAAAGGUAACAUCUGAACCUCUUCUCAGCUAAACCAAGCCCUUCCCAUAUUUUAAAACUUCUAAUUAGGGUUGCAGAAAUUCAGCUAAGUGAAUAUGGUUAUAUGGUAUUGUCACAAACAGAUGAAAAUGAAGCCUUUGGGGAUAUACUGCAAGUAGUGUACGGGAUUGGUGAUUCUCACUUCUUGACGCGGAUUAUAAACCUUUGUUCUUACCAUUUCCGUUGGUGUGAAAUUAAGCUAUGGUAAUAAAGAGUUUUGGGUGACCCCUAUAUGUGAAACAAGGUCAAUAUAAUUUUUAGUAAAAAUGAUAUCGUGCAUGGUAUCAUUGACUUCAAUGAGCCUUUAUGUCUAUCAUCGUUCAAUAUAGUUUUCAGUUAAAUUUACAGGUUCCAUGAAACAUUAUAAAAGUAUGUUUACAAAAUCCCUAAAAAAGAAGAAGUAUAUUUACAAUUGAAGUCUUGGAUUCAGACGUAGCUAAGUGUGUUUUCGCCGACUUCGAAUCAUUUCAGUUGUAGCAUGCUUAGAUAUUAGUACAAGCUUAAUGGAUGUUCUACUGUUUACAUCAUGCAUUUAGUUUUAAAGUUAUCCGAAUGGCCAUUAUGCUGGAAGGGUCAGUAACCCAUAUUUGCUUGUUUCGUGUUUGGUUGUAUGGUUUUCAUAAGAUCUUUGUUGUGUGAUUAUCAGUAACCUAACAUGUUUAUCAAUUUUGAAAUAAGAAGCAUUCCAUGUUUUGAGAAGGAAUCUUUUUAUCUUCCUAAUCAGUUUUUAUUAUUGACAUGGAUGAGUUAUGCAGAUUUAAUUCCAUUUUAUUGCAUACGUACAUUUACAAACAUCCAUUUAUUCCAUCAAAUAGAUGGAUGGGGGUGAUAGUACACUCAUAAUAGAAAUCUUGGAAAAAUAAUCCAAGUAAAGAAACUAUGAAAAACAUUCUUAUAUGAACUUCUUUUUCAAUUCUUGUUCUAUUUGGUGUUUCUUUGUUUUAGAAAACGACCUCAAUAGAGAUGGAAGCAUAUCGCUUAAAUUGCAAAAUGAUGUGAGAAAAUGCAUUAUACUAAACAAAUGGAAACAUGUUUCUUUCUAUCCUUGUAUAACAACCAAACCAUUGAGACAAAAUGGGCACAACAACGCGUGCCAGCAAUGAUCUAGUGCUAUUCAAUACCCCUCUGAUCUUGAGCAUGUUUAUCAUUUGUGAGUAGUUAAUUUCGUUCUUGAGGUCAUGGGAGAAAUCAUGUUGCAAGUAAUCAUGUGAACUUGAUAUGUGUUUGAUAUUUUGAUGAUAUGUAUGUUGCCAUUCUCUUAGUGGUGUCAUGUGAACGUCGACUACAUGACACUUCACCAUAUUUGGGCCUAAGGGAAUGCAUUGUGGAGUAGUUAUUAGAUGGUGGGUUGCGAGAGUGACAGAAGCUUAAACCCCAGUUUAUGCGCUAUUCCGAUUGGAUCCAAAAGUUUAAUGCUAUGGUUAGAAUUUAUUCUUAAUACUUUUCUUGUGGUUGCGGAUGCUUGCGAGAGGGUUAAUCAUAAGUAGGAGGUUUGUUCAAGUAAGAACAACACCUAAGCAUCGGUCCACCCACAUAUCAAAUUAUCAAAGUACCGAACACGAAUUAAGCCAACAUGAUGAAAGUGACUAGAUAAAAUUCCCAUGUACCCUCAAGAACACUUUGCUUAUCAUAAGAAGCCGUUGGCCUGUCCUUUGCCUCAAAAGGAUUUGUCUACCUUGCUACACUUUUGUUACUACUAUUGUUACUUGCUCGUUACAAAUUAUCUUGUUAUCAAACUACUCCGCUACUUACAAUUUUAGCACUUGCAGACAAUACCUUGCUGAAAACCACUUGUCAUUUUCUUCUGCUCCUCGUUGGGUUCGACACUCUUACUUAUCGAAAAGGCUACAAUUGACCCCACAUACUUGUGGGUCAUCAAUGUCUAAGUACCAUACAGGUGAUGCAAGAAGACAAGUAGCAGCUAGGUAGAACAAAUCAGAUUUGGAAGAUAUUGUGAAGACAAACAUGCAAUCACAGAGAAUGUCUUUGAACAAAACACACAAGCAAAGACUUCAUGAAACUAAAUAGUAAGUAAAGGAGUGAGGUGAUAGAACCAGUUACUCAAUGAAGACAAAGGAUUUGUUAGACUAGUUCCAGUUGUUGUGACAACUGUACGUCUGGUUAGGGAGGUUGAGAUUGAACUUAGAAAACCACAUCUUCAUCUUAUUCCCCUUGAGCUAAGACCCGCAGAUCUCGCCCAAUCACUCACGUAAGUCUUCAAGGUAGACUUUCAAACCUUCACAGACUUCUUUCACUGGCAAUCCACAAUGACUCUUGGAUGCCCAGAACACGACGCCUAACUGACUGGAAGAUCACAGAGAUCACAGUCUUCAAGUGUAAUAAGUCUUCGGUUCACACGGAACAGGAAGGCUUCAGUGAUGCUCAAAACACUUUGGGCUCUAGGUGUUUUGGGUUUGUCCUCGCAAGGAUUCUCUCUCAAAGGCUUUGGAGGUGGGUUGCUCUCAAAGGACAAAAGCCAUACACAAUACCUGGAGCAGCCACCAACUUAUGGUGGAGAGGCUGGCUAUUUAUAGCCAGGAGGCAACUCAACAUGAUGUGUCUGAAAUGACCCUGGGUCAAUGGACAACCGACACGUGUCCAACGGUCGGAUUUCAAACACACGUGGCAACUUGACUUGGGCUCCAAGUAAAGUUGACUCAACCAACUCUGGAAGAGAUUUUCUCUCAUUGUCUUCACUCGAAGACAUAGGAUUUUAGGUUGAGCAUCAUGUCAGCUUUCUGACUUUGUUUACCUCGACCUCACUUAAUAGUUCGAUGGUUCCUAUGACUCAGGUAAGAAGAAAAUGAAACAACCAACACAUUAUGUUUUCACGUUCCAUUGUCUUCAAGUGAAUGUCUUCACGUGUCAUUAUCUUCAACACAAAUGUCUUAACGAAUCACCAUUGUCUUCAAUGUCUUCAUACAUUUCUAGGGGUCAUCUUUGGUGGGUAAAUCGAAUUGAUAGGGACUUCUACAUGUGUUCUCCUAUGAAUCCCACAAACACAUUAGUCCCCCAACCAAGUUUGUCGUCAAUACUCCAAAACCAACUAGGGGUGGCACUAGAUGCACCUACACACUUCCGUCGUUUGCUCAAUGAUCUUGAACUCAAAGAGGCCAGCCUUGUGGGGCGGAGAUACACGUGGAGCGACGAGUGGCGCACUCCAACCCCUGUCAAGAUUGACAGGUGGUUCCCUACCGCGGACUAGGACGACGGGCAUCACAAGCACUUGCUGCAGGCCCUCUCCUCUUCCUUCUCAGACCAUUGUCUGAUCAUGAUGUCCACAAACAUGUCCUUCCACUGGAAAUCUCGCUUCCACUUCCAGAGCUACCGGCCAUCCUUACCGGGCUUCCAAGACGUCAUGCAAGCCACCUGGAACACUCCACCCCCCAAGGAUGACCCCUUUGUGGACCCCUUCCUCUCAAAAUGGAGCCAUGUGCGUGUUGGGAAGGAGCAAAUGUUUCUUGCCAACGAGUUGAUCCUCGAGCUCGACCGGGCUAUGGACACGCGUCAACUCUCAUACGCGGAGUUUUGGAUUAGGCGUAAGCUGAAAAAGAAACCAUUGGGGCUUGCUUCCCUCCAAUGCACAAUUGCCCGCCAAAAUUCGCGCAUCAACUAGCUACAUGAAGGCGAUGCCAACACUCAAUUCUUACAAAUCUUCGCUAGUCACUGCCAGCGGCGUAACCACCUCUCCAGGCUCAAGGAUGGGGACCGGGAGGAGACUUCCAUGAACGACAUGUGUGCCAUUGCAGGAGACUACUACCAGCGGUUCCUUGGGGUGCCCUCCUUUAGGGGGCAUUCAGUUGACUUGCAUAGUCUGGACCUUCCACACAUCAAUGUGUCGGCGCGUGAGGCCCCCUGUCUGAGCAGCUCAUCUGGUCCAUCAUCAAAGGGAUGCACCCUGACAAGACAACUGGGCCAGACGGGUUCUCCACCAGAUUCUACCAAUCUUGCUUGCCCGUUAUCAAGGAGGUCGUGAUGAGGGCGAUGCAUGAUACGUCUCCAACGUAUCUAUAAUUUUGUUAUUGUUCCAUGCUAUUAUAUUAUCAAUCUUGGAUGUUUUAUAUGCAUUAUUAUGCUAUUUUAUAUCCUUUUUGGGACUAACUUAUUAACCUAGUGCCCAGUGCCAGUUGCUGUAUUCCCCUUGUUUUGUCUUUACAGAAAAUAAAUACCAAACGGAGUCCAAAUGGAACGAAACUUUUUGACGAAUUUUCUUGGAUAACAAGAUACCCUGGAAGCUUCGGGAGGAGGCCAGAAGGGCCACGAGGUGGCCACAAGCUUGGGCCCCUCGUGGCUCCUCUAGCCCUAAUUCUUCUUAAAUAUCCAAAUAUUCCCCGUAGACCAGAGUGCACACCAAAAAUACUUUUCCCAUUGUUGCAAGUUUCUGUCUUCGUGAGAUCCCAUCUAGGGACCUUUUCCGUUACUCUGUCGGAGGGGGAUUCGGUCACAGAGGGCUUCUACAUCAACCUUGUUGCCGUUCCGAUGAUGUGUGAGUAGUUUACCACAGAGCUACAGGUCCAUAGCUAGAAAGCUAGAUGCCUUCUUGUCUCGCUUUGAUCUUCAAUACAAUGUUCUUCGAGAUGUAUUCGAUGUAAUUUUAUUUUGCGGUGUGUUUAUUUAGAUUCGAUGGAUUGUGGGUUUGUGAUCAGAUUAUCUAUGAAUAUUAUUUGAGUCUUCUUUGAACUCUUUAUGCAUGAUUUAUAUAGCUUUGUAUUUCUCUCCGAUCUAUUGAUUUGUUUUGGCCAACUAGAUUUAUUGUUCUUGCAAUGGGAGAGGUGUUUUGUUAUGCGUUGAAUCUUGCGGUGCUCAAUCCCAGUGACAGAAGGGGACAUAACACGUAUUUGUAUUGUUGCCAUUAAGGAUAAAAAGACGGGGUUUGUUCAUAUUGAUUGGAUCUAUCCCUCUACAUCAUGUCAUCUUGCGUAAGGCGUUACUCCGUUCUUGUUAACUUAAUACACUAGACUAGAUGAACGCUGGAUAGCGGUCGAUGUGUGGAGUGAUAGUAGUAGAUGCAGGCAGGAGUCGGUCUACUUGUCUCAGACGUGAUGCCUAUAUAAAUGAUCAUUGCUUUGGAUAUCUUCAUAACUAUGCAUUUUUCUAUCAAUUGCUCAAUAGUAAUUUGUUUACCCACCGUAUGCUUUCUUUCAAGAGAGAAGCCUCUAGUGAAAACUAUGGCCCCCGGGUCUAUCUUUUAUCAUAUUAUUUUCAGAUCUACAAAAUCAAAAACACAAAAAUACCUUGCUGCAAUUUAUUUACUUUUAUUCUACUUCGCACUUUUACUUAUCUUUUAUAUCUAUCACUAUCGGAUCUCAUCCUUGCAAGUAACCUGAAGGGAUUGACAACUCCUUUGUCGCGUUGGAUGCAAAUAUUUGUUUGUUUGUGCAGGUACAACUAUUGGAGACUUGUGUGUUUCUCCUAAUGGAUUGAUACAUUGGCUCUUAACUGAAGGAAAUACUUAUCUCUACUUUUCUGCACCACUCUUUCCUCUUGAAUGAAAAAACCAACGCAAGCUCAAGAAGUAGUAGUGCACGCUUUCGAUGACGCGUACGAACAGGGCCUCGAGUGUCUAAAUGAAGCCUUCAUCAUCCUUCUACCUAAGAUAGAUGACGUUGUUGACAUCAAAGAUUUUUGGACGAUUAGUCUCAUCCAUAGCUUUGCAAAAAUACUUACAAAGGCCUUGGCCGCGGAGUUGUCACCUGUUAUCCCAAGUGUGGUGGCGCCUAACCAGAGCUCGAUCAAUUCUUGACAAUUUCAUUCUCGCCCAAUAGUCCAUCAGAUUGCUCCACCGGUGCAAGGUCCCAACCAUCAUGCUCAAAAUCGAUAUUGCCAAGGCCUUCGACUCGGUGUCAUGGCAAUUUAUGUUCCAAGUUCUGCCGCAUAGAGGGUUUGGCCCGAGGUGGAUCAUGCGUCUCUACAUGCUCCUACACACCUCAAGCACCCAAGUCUUGGUAAAUGGCCACAUGAGCGAAAGCUUCUUGCACGGCAAAGGGCUACAGCAAGGGUACCCGCUCUCACCCCUUCUCUUCGUCAUCGUCAUGAACGUCCUCACUACCCUCGUCCACAAGGUUAAAUCGGCAAACCUUUUCAGCCCAUUAUCAUGCUGGGGAGUUCACCACCGGCUAUCCCUCUAUGCCGACGACGUUAUGCUCCUGGUCCAUCCCUUGCUUCGUGAGAUGGAGGUGGCCAAGGCCUUGCUGAAUUGCUUUGGUAACGCUUUGGUCCUCCAUUGCAACUUCACGAAAAGCUCCCUCUCGCCCAUCUUUUGCGCUAUGGAUGACCUACAAGGGAUCAUUACCGCCUCGGGCUGCUGCGUCAAGGAGCUCCCGAUCACCUACGUGGGGCUUCCAUUAUCCCUCGUUGCGUUCACCAAAGGAUCAGCUAUAGCCCCUCAUCAACAACAUCGCCGCUCCACCGCUCAGCUGCCUACGUGGUGUGCCUCACUCCUUCGGUGUGCGGGACGUCUAGUGCUUGUGAACUCCAAGCUCUCGGUGAUGCCUAUCUUCCACAUGAUGGCCCUUGACCUCCCACUCUGGUUUCUCAAGUGUGUGGACAAGCUGUGUCGCGGCUCCUUUUGCUGUGGAAUCGAAGACGCAAAGGGGGGUGUUGCUUGGUGGCUUAGCACAUUGUGUGCCUUCCCAAGCCUUGCGACGGCCUUGGCGUGCCAAAUCUCAGGCUACUGAACCAGUCCUUGCGCAUGCGAUGGCUUUGGUUUGAGAAGAUGGGCUUGGACAAGCCUUGGUACGGUCAUCCUAUGUCGUUGUGCCCCGAAACUCUGCACCGUGCUCACGCGGCCUUGCACUACUCCCUUGGUGAUGGACAAAGGCUGCAUUUCUGGUCGGAUCGAUUGAUCAACGGACAAAACAUCGAGCAGCUCGCCCCCAACAUAAUGAGGUUUGUUCGACCUGCGGCUCAUGGCCUGUGUGUCGCAAAUGCACUGCGCGGCCUGAUACGUCUCCAGCGUAUCUAUAAUUUUUUAUUAUUCCAUGCUAUUAUAUUACCCAUUUUGGAUGUUCAUGGGCUUUACUCUACAUUUUUAUAUCAUUUUUGGGACUAACCUACUAAUCGGAGGCCCAACCCAAAUUGCUGUUUUUUUUUGCCUAUUUCAGUGUUUCGAAGGAAAGGAUAUCAAACGGAGUCCAAAUGGAAUGAAACCUUCGGGAGCGAUCUUUUUGGAACAAACGUGGUCCAUGGGACUUGGAGUGGACGUCAAGCAACAAAGGAGGCGGCCACAAGGGUGCUCGGCGCGCCCCCCACCCUCGUGGGCCCCUCGAGCGUCCACCGACCUACUUCUUCCUCCUAUAUAUAUCCACGGACCUCGUGGGCACCGCAACCUUCUGUAUCCGCGAGAUCCCAUCUUGGAGCCUUCGUCGGUGCUCCGCUGGAGGGGGAAUCGACCACUGAGGGCCUCUACAUCAUCUCCAAGGCUUCUCCGAUGAGUUGUGAGUAGUUUACCACAGACCUUCGGGCCCAUAGUUAUUAGCUAGAUGGCUUCUUCUCUCUCUUUGAAUCUCAAUACAAAGUUCUCCUCGAUCUUCUUGGAGAUAUAUUCGAUGUAACUCUUUUUGCGGUGUGUUUGUCGGGAUUCGAUAAAUUGUGGGUUUAUGAUCAAGUUUAUCUAUGAGAACUAUUUGAAUCUCCUCUGAAUUCUUUUAUGUGUGAUUAAGUUAUCUUUGCAAGUCUCUUCGAAUUAUCAGUUUGGUUUGACCUACUAGAUUGAUCUUUCUUGCAAUGGAAGAAGUGCUUAGCUUUGGGUUCAAUCUUGCGGUGUCCUUUCCCAGUGACAGCAGGAGCAGCAAGACACGUAUGUAUUGUUGCCAUCAAGGAUAAAAAGAUGGGGUUUAUAUCAUAUUGCAUGAGUUUAUCCCUCUACAUCAUGUCAUCUUUCUUAAUGUGUUACUCUGUUCUUAUGAACUUAAUACUCUAAAUGCAGGCAGGAGUCGGUUGAUGUGUGGAGCAAUAGUAGUAGAUGCAGAAUCAUUUCGAUCUACUUGUCACGGACGUGAUACCUAUAUACAUGAUCAUGCCUGGAUAAUCUCAUAACUAUGCGCUUUUCUGUCAAUUGCUUGACGGUAAUUUGUUCACUCACCGUAAUACUUAUGCUAUCUUGAGAGAAGCCACUAGUGAAACCUAUGGCCCCGGGGUCUAUCUUUUAUCAUAUAAAUUUUCCAUCUACUUUUAUUUGCAUCUUUUAUUUUCCAAUCUAUAUCAUAAAAAUACCAAAAUAUUUAUCUUAUCAUAUUAUCUCUGUCAGAUCUCACUUUCGAAAGUGGUCGUGAAGGGAUUGACAACCCCUUUAUUGUGUUGGUUGCGAGGUUCUUGUUUGUUUGUGUAGGUGUGUGGGACUUUUGAGGAGCCUCCUACUGGAUUGAUACCUUGGUUCUCAAAAACGGAUGGAAAUACUUACGCUACUUUGCUGCAUCACUCUUUCCUCUUCAAGAAAAACCAACGCAAGCUCAAGACGUAGCAUGGCCACACCUGGGUACAGUCUAUAAGAGCAUCUCCAACAGCCGCGCUAAAAGACGUGCGCGCUAAACUGGCUUUUUAGCGCGCGCGGCCCGUUUUCGCGCGCUCCAGCGGUGGCGGCAAACUAGCGCGCGCGGGAAAAGGCGGCAGCUCGCGCGCUAGAUUUGGCGCACCGCGUCCGGCGCCUAUAAAAUUGCAGCGCCCUCUGCCGCUCUCUCUCGCUCCCUCCACUGCUUUCUCUCCUCGCCGCCGACAUGACACCACCGCGCACCAUGCCGCCUCGCCGCCGGGGAGGUUCGGGCUACCACGCAUCUGCGUGCGCCCGUCCGGCACCUAUUCCGCCUCAAUUCGGUCGGGCGGCGGCGUGCGCCUCGGCCUCGGAACCUUCUACACUGCCCAGGAUGGCGCUCACGCGUACGACGCUGCGGCGUGGCGCCUCCGGCGGUCCCGUUGGGACAUGAACUUCACCGACGUGGUGACGUGGGAGUGGGCACGGGUGUUGGUGCCUUUCCCGCGGCUUAUCACUGACGAGGAUCGUCGCAAACACCGGAGGCGGGAGCGCCGUCUUAGCCUGGCCGAGAUGGACGAGGAAGCCAUGGCGCUGUGGAGGUAACGCUUCCCGCAAGACAUCAUCAACGAGGAACAGUUCUUCGCCGAGAGGAGGGCGAAGAGGGAGGAGAGAAGGAAGGAGCGAGCCGCCUAUCGCGAGGACAAGCGAACGCGGAAGGCGGUCGCUAAAUACAACAUGGCGCUAGGAGAUGCGUCGUCAUGGGACUCCCGCGACGAGCGGUUCCUUGACGCCUAUGCUCAGACGUCGAAGGAGGACAUCAUCGAGGCAGAGUCCGAGUCGGAGAAUGACGAGUAGUAGUAGUUUUUCGUUUUAUUUUGUAUCGUAGAAGCAGGCUAUGUGGACGAAGUAGAACUAUAUAUCGUUGGAGAAGUCUAGAUGUAGGCAUUUUGUACCGUAAAAGCAGGAUAUGUGUCGAACUAUCUCCAUAUUUGUAUGCUAUGUAUCCAAUCGUCAAGAAAAAAAAUGAAAUAUAGUGCACCUGCUGGAGUGGUUCGGGCGCGCUUUAUUUUACGGCGGCCGCUGCGCACCGUCGCGGGCAAAACCUGGCUCAUCCGGCGCUGUAUUCUGAUUUUUAGCGCGCCGCGGGUUGCGUGCCUGUUGGAGAUGCUCUAAGAGAAGCGCCCACUGUCCUGGCCUUUGCAGAGUUCCUUGACCUUUGGGAGGCGCUAGGCCACUACCAGCUCACGGCAGCACCCGAUACCUUUGCGUGGAAACUAGCAGCAAAAGGAUCCUACUCGUCACGUGACACAUACCGGGCAUUCUUCCAAGGGCGUGAGUUCGCCCCUUGCGCAGCGGAGAUAUGGCAGUCAUGGGCUCCCCUUGAGGUGAAGAUUUUCACAUGGCUAGCAGUUAUGAACCGGCUAUGGACUGCCGAUCGUCUGUUGCGUCGUGGACUCCCAAACACCACGCAGUGCCAGCUAUGAACCUGCCAGAUCGUCUAAUGUUUCUAGGCUGCUCGUUCUCUCGCGAAGUGUGGCACCACACCCUCCUGCCAUUUUGCCUGCAUCGGUUCAUUCCGGCGGGAGCGGGACCGCGGGAGCUUCAGGAGUGGUGGCCUUUUGUCACAUCGUCCGUCGGCUCGGCGAACCGCAAGGAAGUCAAUAUAGUCAUCGCCGCGACGCUUCGCUUUUCAUCUUGCUAGAGCGGAACAGUAGGGUUUUUGACCACACGGCAGCCUGUACUAUCAUGUCAUAUAAGCCAUCCAGCAACACAAAAGGAGUUUAAAUUCAAAGCAUCAUGUUUUGUGUUACGCACUUGUACCGGAACUUUCACUCAGCUCACAAGAGGGUUCUUCUAAAGAAUUGUUUGCUGGCUUGUGCAAGGACAGGUUACCUACCACAAUUUUGACAAGACGUUGAUAGGCUAAACGUUACGAUUAAGAGGGCGAGCCGAAACUAGGGCUGGGAAUUUGGGAGAGAAGAAUGGGGUGGUGGAUGCUGAGUCAGUAGCCUUUCGUCGGCAACGCCUGUCAUGAUGCUAGCAAAGGAAAUUGCUUCUGCUUCUCUCUUAAGAAAAUUGGGGCCAAUUCACGGCUUUAGUGUUGUUUGUACAGAGUAUUAAUCGCCUGUUAAUGUUUUUCAAGCAUAAUGAGCAAUGAGAUGUUGGAAACUAGGACCAAUUCAAGGUUUUUAAUGCUGUUUGGAUAAAAGCUUAGCCGAAUGAUAUCAUCCCUAUUAAUAUGGUAUGUCAAUUUGAUAGCAGCAAACAUCAGGCUGAAUUUCUUGGAAGGUCGACGUUAUCGAAACAUGCUUAUCAGGAUCUUGAGAAUGGGAGAACUCAGGCCAGCACUUGAGUGGCAACUGCAAAUCAUCACCAAAAGGUCUCAAAAUCAGACAGGAGAAAACUUCAGAAUGAAAAGCAGAACCAUAUUAGUUGAGGCGACAAAAUAUAGGAAUUCUUCAAAUUAAACCAGAACCAUAUUAGUUGAGGCGACAAAAUAUAAGAAUUCUUCAAAUUAACCCAGAACCAUAUUAGUUGAGGCGACAAAAUAUAAGAAUUCUUCAAAUUAACCCAGAACCAUAUUAGUUGAGGCGACAAAAUAUAAAAAUUCUUCAAAUUAAACGAGAACCAUAUUAGUUGAGGCAACAAAAUAUAAGAAUUCUUCAAAUUAAAUCAUCCAUAUUAAAUAGAGCGCAACAUAAGAUGGCGGAGGAUGUUAUAGUCCAACAUGGCGGCCAUCUACCCCAAUUUGAUGCCAUUUGCAGGAUUCCAGGAGACAUCCAGACCAGUGAGCAGGAUGGCUAAAAAUGUUCACACAGACAUUAGCGUAGCACUAAUGGAGCAAGGGGCUCAAAAUCAGAUUGACCAAAACUUCAAGAGUGAAAAGCACCACCCUAACACACAGCAGUUCAGGUGAAAACUGGAACAAAUCUCCAUAAUAUUUGUCUAUAGGUUCAGACAUAUGGACCCACAGUCAAGGGGAGGCAAAAUAUAAGGAUUCUUCAAAUUAAACCAUUCAUGUUCAACAGAGCACAACAUAAGAUAGGUGGAUAACUAGGAGGUACUCAGAUCAAGUAUCAAAACUCAACAAGCACUACAAUAUAACAAUGCACUCUAAUCCUCCUCCUCGCCCUCGUUCUCAGCGAUGUUGAAGUACCGG
rnacentral:lncRNA from 1 species